GUGUGCUGAGCUACCCCCAGAGAUCAAGAGGCACAUUCAUCCAGAACACCCUCUUCGUCUACUGCCAAAUCAUGAUACGAUGUGUGAUUUUUGCAACGAAACUUGCUAUGAGAGUUUUGUUUACUGCUGUUUUGUGUGCGAAUUCAACCUCCAUAUCAAAUGUGCUUUUCCACCGUGCGUUUAUGCAGCUGAUCAGGAUCAAAGGCAUCAAUUUAGACGCCUACUGAAUCCACUUCAUUCAAAUCAAUCUCCUUCACUUGCAAUGCAUGUGGCACAGAUGGAGAUGACUCCCCAUUCAUGUGCACCAUGUGCCAACUCGUGGUCCACGAAGAAUGCAUUUCAUUGCCAGGCACCCUUAAAACAGCACUGCACCAUCAUCCCCGAAUCAUCCACACAUACCAACUUCAACAAUGCAUCGAAUCUAUAAACAAGUACUGUGGAAUUUGCCGUCGGGAAGUUGACACAGAAUACGGAGUUUACUAUUGCCCAGACUGUGACUUUGUUGCACACGUGAAUUGUAGCAGAGAAUAUGGCGAUUCUGCAACAGAGACUGGAGGAGAAAACGAAGAAGAGCAAAGUGUGGCUGUUGAUGAUCAAUUCAUGGAACCUAGCUUUCGCGUUGUCCGUGAGAUCAAGUAUGGAGAGGAGAGAAUAAUUGAAGAGAUCAAACAUUUCAGUCAUCAACAUAACCUAAUCCUUACUGACAAGGUUGAUGAUGAUCUAAAGUGUGAAGGGUGCAUGUUACCAAUCUCAACUCCAUUUUACAGUUGUGCCAAUUGUAAUUUCUUUCUUGACAAAACCUGUAGCAUAGAAUUACCCAGGCAAAAAAAGUGGCAAUAUCACGCAAACCAACUGAUUCUUUCAUGGAACCGAUCGGAACGUGGUAUGUUCUACUGUCAUUUGUGUGCUCAAUAUUGUAGUGGGCUCAUGUACAGAUGUGAUGUAUGUGUACUCCAGAUUGCUGUCCGAUGCUUCAAAUCAAUAUUGAAAGAUUCUUUUAAACAUGGAGGUCACGAGCAUCCCCUUUAUCUUCCAGCGGACAGAAAGAAUAUUCUCCGUUGCCGUAUUGGGGGUGAGGGGUUUCCCCCUUUGCUUGCAUCGGACGGAGAGAAUAUUCCGCAUUGCAGUGGCUGUUGUGUCAGUGAAGAAUCAAAGGUAUUUUUGAAAUGUGCGGUUUGCGAUUUCAAGCUGGGUAUGAAAUGUGCUACACUGCCAUACAAAGCAAGACACGAGUAUGAUGACCAUCCUCUCUUCCUCACCUACAUUAAUGAAAAUGACUACCAGCCUUCCUGCAUAAUUUGUGAAAAAGAUAGAGACCCGAAGCUCUGGUUCUACCGUUGUGAGGAAUGCGACUUCGAUGCUCAUCCAGAAUGUGCUCUCGGGAAAUACCCAUACGUCAAGCAGGGGGGUUUAACAUAUCCUAAACACCCUCACCCUCUUGCUUUGGUCGACAAGACAGAGGAUUAUCGUCCACAGGCAUGCGAUAUUUGUGGUGACCUUGCGAUGACUUGGCCUUGAAUGUACUGAUCCUAACUGCAUUUUAUCGUCCACAGGAAAGAUGGCAAUGCUUUGACUCAUUAUGUAAUUGGAUUGCAGUUGUUGGCUUUUUUCUUAUUUUUGGGUUAUGAUUGUUGGGGUGAAUGGUUAGCUUCAUACUUAUUAUCUCUGUUUCUAUUUUCGCUUAUCAGAUCACUUUUUUUUCUUUUUUUUUCUGAACAAUAAAAGAUGCUAUUUCAUUAAAACUGUCAAUGUAGUUUGUUGUUUCUUUGUGCCUUCGUAAGUGACGAAGAUGUCUGACCUUCCACCAUUUUUUUAGCUUAGCAGGAAGCUCUCCAUAAAUUCUGCUUUUACAUUUUUGUUAUAGAUUUUAUUGUAAAUGCAAAAAUAUUUCAUAAAAAUAACACUUAUCUAAUGAUAUCAAUUAUUUUCAUUCAAAUAUUUAAUUUUUAUUUCCUUAACACAAUCUAAUAAUAAAUAAAUGUAUUUAAAUAAUAUUUAAAACGAAGAUCUCAAGGGCAUUCCAUAGCUUUGUCCUUUAAUAAGAUAUCUCAUGAAAAAAUAAGUUAAUUUAUGUUUUUGGUAUUUUUCUUCUUAAGAAGAAUAAAAAUAAAAAUAAGAAUAAGAAUAAGCCUAUGGUUAUCUAAUUUCAAAAUCACGAAGGGAUUUAGAGGCUCAAAUCCUAAAAAAAAAAAAAAAACUAAAUAGAAAAAAAAUUAUAAAUCAACUAAUAAAAUAUUAAGUCUAGAUAUUUUUUUUGGUUUUAUUUGAAAGUCUUGUUGAUUUUAAAUGAUUACAAAAUUCUAAUUUUAUAGAAAAUAAAGCUUUUAAAAUUUUCUAAUAAAAUUUGAGUUGGAUUAAGAUAAAAAAAAAUAAAAUUAUGCCCUUUACAAGAUUGCUUAUAUUUUAAAAAAUAUCAUAUAUUAAUCGUCUCGAAUUCAAAUUGUUGUUGCUUCAAUUUCGCAAGUAUCAAAUUAAAAAUCUCAAACCUUUUGCACGUGCAGGCAACAUUCCCAGCCUUCUCGGUAUUAAGAGUUCUUAUGGCAGCUUAUGACAGCUUUAUUGUCAUAAUACAACUUCGUUGGCAUAUUCAUCGGCAUUCACAGUUCUUCAAGAAUUCUCUUCAGCCAUAACAUUUCACAAACUCCAUUUUCAUAACCUUAUAUUCUACUUGAGCACUGCUUCUUCCAACCAUAUUUUGUUUCUUACUUUGCCAUGUAACCAUAGAUUUAAGUACAAUAUUCUAAUGUGGAUCUUCUAUCAAUAACUAAACCUGCCCAUUCUACAUCAGCUUCAAGAUGUUUUGCAUGGGGUGAAUGCAAACCCAGCAUUUGUAUUCCAAACAAAAAGCAAUAACAUGAUAAUUCAAUUAAGGUUAGGAAUUUUUUUUUUAAUAUAAUUAAUAAAAAUUUCAGCAGAGUUUUCUUUAUAUUUUUAGAUAUCAAGAUAUUAACUUUUUUUCUGUAAUCCUCAAUAAUCAAAUUUUUUACUCGUUUUAUAAUUCAAGACUGAUUGUGUAAAGAUAGAUAUAGUGAUCGCAUAAAAUAUCUUACUAAACUCACAAUAAAUGUAAUAUUAGAUCAUGUUUGUGAUAAGUAAAUCAGCUCUCCCACUAACUUUUGAUACUGUGUUGUAUUCACACUAGAUCACCUUCCUUGUCAUCUUCAAGUUUCUGAUUGGGAUCUAUUGGAGUGUCUGCUAGCCUACAACCACUCAUCCCAGUCUCCUUAAGAACAUCAAGGACACACUGCUGCUGUUGGGAUAUAACGAUCCCCUUCUUCGACAGAACAAUCUCUAAUCCAAGAAAAUCCUUAAUCUCUAUUUCAAUGGCAUAUGGGUGAUUAUUAGAUUGAAAGGUUUUCCUUCUUUGAGAGAACCUUUUUUAAAGUGAAAUAAACACAACUUUCAGUUUAUACGUUGCUUGUAAGAAUAGCACAUAUGAGUAUGAUUUUGAGAUUUGAAAGAACUCCUUGUUUAAGAGGAAAUUGGACUUUGUCAUGUGAAAUGAACACCUUUUCAAUUUAUACCCUGCAGAAAAUGAACAUCUAAUUAUUUGUCUAGCAAAGUAGCUUCAGUUGAAGAUUGCCUGUCUCACUUGCAAUGCAUGUGGCACUGAUUUGUUGAAGAUUAUUACCAGCAGACGUCACAUCUGUUGCAUUUCUUCAUUCAGCUAACCCAGUCUCACAAAAUUUUCCCUGUGUUUAGAAAGUUUCACCAAAACAAUAAAGCUAAAAAUGUCAUUACAAUUUCCUAGUAGAUAUUCAACUUUGCUAUGAGUUUUCAAAACAUGAUAAAAAGAUUUCUAUUUUUUUAUUCUGUUCAAGCAACAUUGACAUGGCAAUAAGCUAGCAUUGCACUGUUAUGGAUCAUGGCGAUUUGAUUUGUUUUUCAAUUUACAAUUUAGUCAAAUUCAAAGAAAACUUACACACAAAAAAGGAAAUAACCUGUUCAAAAUCUAAUUAGAAAUAAACUUCAUUUUGAUAUAUGGAAACUGAUUAUAAUGAUAACAUGACCAUUGAAACCUAAAAACAUAAAUUUGUUAAUUAAGAAAUGCUAGGAAAACUUUUUUUUUUUUUUACUAAUAUUUGUUUAUCAAUAAAAAUAAAAGGCAUCUAAAGUUUUUGCCAUUUACAAAAUUUUACAACACAUUGAGCCAUGAAAGUUGCCUGUUUUGGAAUGAGUCUAGAGAGGUCUUUGAAAUUGCAGUGAGACCUGAUUUAAAAAAAAAAAAUUUAAUUUUAAAUUUAAUUUUUUAUAUUUUUAUAUACAUAUUGUAUCGGUAUUAUAAAUAAAAUUUAAAAAAUAUAUAAUAAAAAUUUUAAUCCAUUCAAAAAUAAUAAUAAUAAUAAUUACCACUAUCUUAUACCACAUCCACAUAGCAUCGGUUUUGCUUUGAAAACAACUUGGCGACUGAAUGGUGGUCUAGUUAAACGUAUUUUUCUAAUCAGUGAUUUUUCUUUUAAAUUCAAGACGGUUGGCAUGUACUUGUGCUUCGUUAUCUUAUUUAAUUUUUUAUUCUAUAGUAAAAAGGUAUUUUUUUUAUUAGUUUAUAUGUCAAUCAUGAUUGAGUUUUUUAUUCAAAUGAUUUUAAGGAUAAACAAUUUAAAGUUAUGAAUCAUCGAACAAUCCAUUUAAAGUUAUAUAAUUAUGUUGUGAUGUAUCUUAAAUCAAAUAAAAAUUAUACUAGAUUAUUAACAUUUUUUAAUAAAUAUAAAAGAAAUAUUCAAACAUUACUAAUAUAUUUUUAAACAAAAAAAAAUUUAAAUAAUAUGAGGGUUAAUUUGAUAUAAUUUGGUUGAUUUUACAAGUUUACAAGUAAUCUAUAUAACCCGAAAAAACAUAAUUUGAUUAAAAAAAAAUUUAAGAUGAUAUAUUUUUUUAAUAUUAAGAUAAAAAUAUAUUAAAUUAUUUUAUUAAAUUAAAUCCAAAAAAAGUGAGUUUUUUUAACAGAAGCAAGAAAAACAUUUUUUUGUAAUGAUUUAUGUGCACAUUAAAAUGUGUUUUAUAUACUUGAUUUGGUUCUUGAUCUAUAGUAAUGAACCGGCUUUAUUUAAAAAUUUCUCAAAAAAUAAAAUUGCGUUGAACAAAUUAAUAAAACUACGCUAUCUCUUCUUUUUUUAUAUAUAUUAAAUGAUUGGUUAAAGAUGAAAUAAAUAAUUCUAUAUUAUUUGUUUGUACGUAUUACUUUUAAGCAUAGACUCUUUUAUUUGGUGAUAUAUAUUUUUAUCUAUGUUGUUUGCCUUUUUUUUCUGUUGUGUUUUUAUUCAUUGACAAUCGAGGCUCAAGAUGUCAAUUGGAUUUUAUUUGUUGUGAGCCAAUCUUUUAUUUUUAAUGAGAUCAUGUAUUUUUAAAAUUCAUCUUGAUGUCUUACUAUGCAUUUACACAUCACUUUCCGCUUUUAGGAACUCUGAAAGUGGAUCCUCCACAACAACAACUGCAUUUUACAUUGAGAAUGAAUGGCCAAAAUUUAAAGAAUACAUAGUGGCUGUAGAAGAUGAGGAAUGGGAGGAGGAAAACAUAUGGGAAUUCACAAAAUUAAUAGAACAACACGAACAGGCUUGGAGGCCCGCUAAAGAGGAACUUGAAACCAUAAAUGUAGGCAAUGAAGAAAUCAAACGAGAGCUGAAGAUAGGGACUUUGAUCACCCCUGCAGCAAAGGAAGAGUUGAUUGCACUGCUCAAAGAUUAUGUGGAUGUCUUUGCCUGGUCCUACGAGGAUAUGCCUGGUUUGGAUACAGACAUUGUGGUACAUAAAAUACCACUGAUGGAAGGAUGCAAGCCGAUCAAACAGAAGUUAAGGAGAACUCAUCCAGAGAUCUUAAUCAAAGUAAAGGCGGAAAUUGAAAAACAAUGGGACGCCGGUUUUUUGGAAGUAGUGAAGUAUCCACAAUGGGUGUCAAAUAUAGUGGUGGUACCCAAAAAGGAAGGUAAAAUCAGAGUUUGCAUGGACUUUAGGGACUUAAACCGGGCUAGCCCUAAAGAUAAUUUCCCUUUACCACACAUAGAUAUGUUAGUUGAUAAUGCAGCACGCAGCUCCACAUAUUCUUUCAUGGAUGGGUUUUCAGGCUACAAUCAGAUAAGAAUGGCGCCAGAGGAUAGGGAGAAGACAACCUUUGUAACACCAUGGGGAACCUUUUGCUACAAAGUCAUGCCAUUUGGUUUAAAGAAUGCUGGGGCCACUUACCAAAGGGCUAUGGUGACUUUGUUUCACGACAUGAUGCACAAAGAGAUUGAAGUAUACGUGGAUGACAUGGUUGCUAAAUCUAAAGAGGGAGAGAAUCAUGUCCAAGUAUUGAAGAAAUUAUUUGAAAGAUUAAGGAAAUAUAAGUUGAGGCUUAACCCAGCAAAGUGUUCAUUCGGGGUGAAAUCCGGUAAGCUGUUGGGAUUUGUGGUGAGUGACAAAGGGAUAGAAGUGGAUCCUGAAAAAGUAAAAGCUAUUCAAUCUAUGCCACCCCCAAGACUGAGAAGGAGGUGAGAGGUUUCUUAGGAAGGUUGAAUUACAUCGCUCGGUUUAUAUCCCAUUUAACCGCGACUUGUGACCCGAUCUUUCGUUUGUUGAGGAAGAAGAACCCUGGAAUAUGGAAUGAAGAGUGUGAUAAAGCUUUUGAGAAAAUCAAGCAGUACUUGCUAAAUCCACCUCUGCUUGUUCCUCCCGUACCAGAAAGGCCAUUGAUUUUAUACCUAACAGUAACCGAAACAGCAAUGGGAUGUGUGCUUGGGCAACAUGAUGAAACCGGAAGGAAGGAAAGGGCCAUUUAUUACCUAAGCAAGAAGUUCACGGAAUAUGAGUCUAGGUAUACUGUGAUUGAGAAGCUGUUGUGCACUAGCAUGGGCUACAAAGAGAUUACGUCAGUAUAUGUUGUAUCACACUACAUGGUUAAUUUCCAAGUUAGACCCGUUAAGGUACAUUUGUGAAAAGCCUUAUCUAUCUAGCCGAAUUGCAAGAUGGCAAGUUCUUUUGGCUGAGUAUGACAUAGUAUAUAUGACAAGGAAAGCCGUGAAAGGGAGUGUUAUUGCCGAUCACCUGGCUGACCAUGCUAUGGAAGAUUAUGAGCCGUUAAACUUUGACUUUCCCGAUGAAGAUGUGUUUGCAAUCGAGGAAGAGAAAUCAGAUUGGUGGGUUAUGUACUUUGAUGGUGCUGUAAAUGUAUGUGGUAACGGAGCGGGGGCAGUGAUAAUCUCUCCUGAUAAGAAGCAGUAUCCGGUUUCAGUUAAGCUGCAGUUCGGGUGCACCAACAACACGGCUGAGUAUGAAGCUUGCAUUCUUGGUUUAGAGGCUGCAUUAGAGAUGAACAUAAAAAGAUAGAUGUGUAUGGAGAUCAAUGCUGAUCAUUUGCCAAGUAAAAGGAGAAUGGCAAACCAAAGAAGAGAAGUUAAGGCCUUACCAAGAAUACCUGUCUAAGCUGCUAAAGAAUUUGAGGAAAUAGAGUUCACCCAUCUGGGAAGGGAAGGGAACCAGUUUGCAGAUGCUUUGGCCACACUAGCAUCUAUGGCCAAGAUAGACUUUGGGCACAAGGUACAGCCAGUACACAUCAAUAUCAGAAAUAACCCCGCUCAUUGUUGCUCAGUCGAAAGAGAAGUGGAUGGAAACCCGUGGUACUAUGAUAUCAAGAAUUUCAUCCAAAACCAGGCAUAUCCCAUGGGGGCAUCCAAAAUCGACAAGAAGACCUUGAGAAGGUUGGCAAUGGAUUUUUAUCUUGAUGGGGAGAUUUUGUAUAAGAAAUCAUCUGACGGGACUUUGUUGAGAUGUUUGGAUGAAUUUGAGGCAAAAAGCACAGUACGGGAAGUCCAUGAAGGGAUUUGCUCAACUCAUGCUAGUGGACAUGUGAUGGCCAGGAAGAUACAAAGAGCCGGGUACUUCUGGAUGACGUUAGAGAAGGAUUGUAUCGAUUAUGUCCGGAAAUGUCAUAAGUGCCAAGUAUACAGUGACAAAAUCAAUGCUCCUCCGGCUCCUCUGUUUAAUUUAACAUCUCCAUGGCCUUCGCGAUGUGGGGAAUUGAUGUGAUUGGACCGGUAAACCCAAAAGCCAGCAAUGGUCAUAGGUUUAUUCUCGUGGCUAUCGACUACUUCACAAAAUGGGUAGAAGCUGGGUCAUUUGCUCAUGUGACGCAAAAAGUGGUGAAGAAAUUUAUUGAGAGAGAUUUGAUAUGUCGGUAUGGUCCACCAGAAAAGAUUAUAACUGAUAACGCCCAGAAUUUCAACGGCAAGAUGAUAAUAGAGCUCUGCACUAAAUGGAAAAUCAAGCAUUCCAAUUCUUCGCCAUAUAGACCAAAGAUGAAUGGUGCGGUAGAAGCUGCUAACAAGAAUGUCAAAAAGAUUAUUCAGAAGAUGGUAGUCACCUAUAAGGAUUGGCAUGAGAUGUUGCCAUUUGCCCUUCAUGCAUAUCGCACCGCAGUUCGAACCUCAACAGGAGCCACCCCGUAUAUGUUGGUAUAUGGAAUGGAGGCGGUGAUGCCUUUAGAAGUGGAAAUCCCAUCAUUGAGAGUGUUGUUAGACUCUGAGCUGGAAGAGGUAGAAUGGGCAAAGGUUAGAUAUGAACAGUUGAAUCUGAUCAGUGAAAAGAGGAUAGCCGCGAUCUGUCAUCAUCAACUCUACCAAAGAAGGAUGGCUAAAUCAUAUGACAAGAAGGUUCGACCUCGAGGAUUCCACGAAGGAGAUCUUGUACUAAAGAAAAUAUUACCUUUACCUGGAGAAGAUCAGAGUAAAUGGGCACCUAACUACGAGGGGCCUUACGUGGUGAGGAAAGCAUUCUCAGGAGGAGCUUUGUUACUGUCUAGAAUGGAUGGAGAAGAUCUAGUUAGGCCUGUGAAUUCUGACUCUGUAAAGAAAUACUACGCUUGAUGUAUUUCGUAAUUUCCCAGUCAAUAAAAUAAAUUUCGGCCAUGAAUUCUCUUUGUAAAGAGUCCUUUUAUAUAUAUAUAUAUAUAUAUAUAUAUAUAUAUCAUAUGAUCUCAUAGCAUUUGAAAUCUUUUGUUUAAAAGAACUUUUUAUGGCAUGACUAAGAAAAUGACUCCAUCAAUUGGAGAACCAAAUCAAAUCUACUUGACAUAUAGUUGCACAUCACACUAGGGGGCAAAAGGUGCACGAAGUGCACAUAAGGGUCUAUAGUAAACCCAAGCCCAAAAGGGGUAUCAUAAUAAAAACUUCUAAAAAAGCAUCUUUUAUAAGAUUUGCUAAUUGCAUUAAAAGUUUCAGUUUUCAUGAACAAAACCAAUUUUUUCCUUUGGCACAAAACUCAAUGGAGCAAGAAAGGGCCCCAUGAGAAAAGCUUGAAACAAGAGCGAAGAGGUUUACGACGAAAGGGGGACCUAUGUUUCCAAGAUAGGUAACAAAAACAUACAUGCAUAUUAACCAUAAUACAUUGCUUUCAACAUUUGUCAGAUCGGGAUUUCAUCACCAUUUCUCAGGUAGCGCGUUUUCUAAACCCUAUCUCUUUUCGAGUGCGUUGUAUGAGCCCUCACUUUUUGGGUAGUGCGUUUUCUAACCCUAUCUCUUUUCGAGUGCGCUGUUUGAGCCCUCACUUCUUGGGUAGUGCAUUUUCUAACCCUACCUCUUUUUCGAGUGCGCUGUUUGAGCCCUCAUUUCUCAGGUAGUGCGUUUUCUAAAACCCUACCUCAUUUCGAGUGCGCCUUUGAGCCCUCACCAACAUUUUCUGGGUAGGUCACCCAUUACAACGCGACCAUUUUUUCCAAUUUUUUUUUUACUUGGGCAGGUCACCCAUAAGAAUGAGGCCAUUCCUUCCCCUGGGUAGGUCACCCAAAGAAUGAGACCACACUUUCUUUUUCCUUGGGUAGGUCACCCAUCACAAUGAGACCAUGUUUUUUUUUUGGGUAGGUCACCCAUCACAAUGAGACCAUUCUCCAUCUUUUUUUACCUGGGUAGGUCACCCAUAAGAAUGAGGCCAUUCCUUCCCCUGGGUAGGUCACCCAAAGAAUGAGACCACUCUUCCUUUUUCCUUGGGUAGGUCACCCAUCACAAUAAGACCAUAUUUUUUCUGGGUAGGUCACCCAUAAGAAUGAGACCAUUCUCCAUUUUUUAUUUAUCUGGGUAGGUCACCCAUAAGAAUGAGGUCAUUCCUUCCCCUGGGUAGGUCACCCAAAGAAUGAGACCACUCUUUCUCUUUUCCACUCGGGCAGGUCACCCAUCAUAAUGAGACCACACACACAUUUUUUGUAUUGGUUAUGAGUAAAGGAAUCGCCGGAUGGGAUUCCAGGUUAAAGGAGAUCACCAGAUGGGAUCUCGGAUGGAUUUCCAUGAUUGAUAAAACUAAAGUAAGAAUUCAGAGGAUCGAUGGAUAAGGAUCUCGAUAUAACUAAGUUUUGAUCAUAGUUUUUGGGCUAAGGAGGUUUGUUGUAAAAGACAAAGUUUCAGAUCAAUUAAGCUUCGAACAGAUUAGUUUCGGGAGUUCCGUUUUGGGUUUAUCUUUAUAACACUUACUGCGCAAAACCCAUGCUCCGUAAGUAUUAUAAAGAGGGGGCAUCUGUUGUAACCCAUUUUUGGGUCCCCAUAAAAAAUAAAAUAAAUAGCCAAAAGAGUUUAGAAAAAAUAACAGGAGGCAGAAGCGCUCAGGAAACAGUCAGAAAAUUGGUCAAGGAAUUUAAAAAUACAAGGAUUGAAUUUUUUACAGUAUAUUCUUGAAGGAUGAAAGCCCUAUUGAGAAGGAAAAAUUUGAAUUUUGAGGAGAAAAGCCCAAAUUUGGAUGUUUAUGGACUUAAUUGGAUUUUAUAUGAUUUAUAGAAGAUUUGAUUGCAAGAAAAAUUGAUUUUUAAGUCAAUUUGGGCUUAAUUUGAAGAAAUUUAAGUUCUGGGGCCAAAUAUAUUUUUUUAGGGUCAAAUCAGGGGCUUAAUUGCAUAAAUAUUGAAGUUUAAUGGCCAAUUAGGGACUUAAUUGUGAAAUCCGAAACCAGGGACCAAUUUGGAGAAGGCGCAAAGAUAGAGGGGCUGUUGGUUGUUUCAGGGCUUAAUUGAAGAAUUGGAAGUUUAUUGAUCAAUUAAGGGCUUAAUUAUGAAAAUCAGAGGCCAAGGACCAAAGUGAAAACGCGGCCAACUAUAGAGGUAGGGACCGAAUUUGGCAGGGACGCAAUUGAAUUUUAUUCUUGAUUGAAGGACUCGAUUGAAGGACUUAAUAGAAAAAUGACAAAUUAGGGACUGAUUUAAAAACAAAGUUUCUCUGGCGCCUUUAUUUUAAAAUGAAACGGCGCGUUUUGUCCAAAACGACGCCGUUAUGCAUAAAUAAAAAAAAAAAAAAAAAAGAGACCGAACGGUGCCGUUUUGAACGGCACUGUUCACUGUCUUCUUCCCCCCCGAAGAUUACAGCGGGGAAGAAGGAAAAGUUUGUAUUUUUUUUGCAGGUCCCUCUUGCCACCGACCGAGGCCCCACGCCGGUGGGCCACCGACAGAAAACAAUGGCCGACAACCUGCCUCGUUGCCGAAGCCGAGGGAGGCCCGCCGCUCCUCGACCCGCUCCGGGGCUCCACGUUGAAGUCACGCCAUGGUUCUAUAAAUAGAGAACCGAAAGGGAGAACAAGGGACGAACGAAAAAAAAAAAAGAAAGGAGAGGAACCCCGAAACAAAAAAAAAACGAAGAGAGAGAGGAAGAGAGAGAAACACUGUAACAGAGGAGAGAGAGCCACUGAAAACCCAAGAAAACCGAGAGCAAAGGGAGGUUUGAAGCCGGGAGGGAAUUUAAGAAAACAAAACCAACCCAACGAGCCGAGAGGACGUCGCCGGGCCACUUGGAAUUCGCCGUGAGAAGCCGCCGUCCGUGAAGCUAGGACACUGCCACCACCACCGCAGCCCCGCCAGCAAACCACCUCCUCCACCGCACCAGGUACGCCUCCUUUCCUCCCCCUGCAUUUUUUUUAAUCUAUAUCAGUUUUGCCUCCUGCAUGCAGGAGGCGGGGGGGGGGGAAUAAUUCCCCCCCCCCCCGUGCUCUUUUUUUUAUUUCUCUGGGACAGAUUGUGUCUGGCCCAGACCGAGGUUAAUUAGUUUGUUGGGCCGAGAUCGGCCCAGUCCCUGUUGGGCCGAGAUCGGCCCAACGACUUUUGGGGCUGGGUCCGGCCCAGUUUAGUUGGGCCGGCCCAGCCCCUUUUAAAUAUAUAAAUAUAUUAUAAUUAUAUUAUAUUAUUAUUAUUAUUAUAUGUGUGUGUAUAUAUAUAUAUAUGUUUUUUUUUGAAAAAAAUUUGAAAAAUCUAAAAAAAAUUGUUGUUAUUUUCUUUUCAUAUAAAUAUAUUUUUGUUUUAUACAUUUGGUUUGUAUUUUUAUACUGUAAAGAUACAAAACCAGUGUUAAAAAUACCCGGUUCUCGUCAAAACAUCAAAGAUUUUUCAUAAUAAAAAAUGUUUUUGCUUUCAAAAAAAUUCUAAAAGGUCCCUAAAAAUAUUGUUGAUUUUUCUGCAUAUUUUUAUCAAAGCGGAUUAAUAUUGGGUUGUAUUUUUAUACCGUAAGGAUACAAGCUCAGUAUUAAAAUACUCGAUUUUCAUCAAAGCAUAAAAAAAAAAUAUAUUUUCCAAAAAUUGUUUUUUUUUGUUUUAAAAUACGGCCUAGUCUCUCCAAUAUAUAUAUAUAUAAAUAUUAUAACAUCAUAUUUUCACACAACGAAGAAAAUUUUCAAAACAAUAUAUGUAUUAACAUGUAUUUUGGCUUUAAUAACCAGUUUAUUCAAGCCAUGAGAACUAGGCCAAUAUUUCAAAAAUUCUAAAAAAUCUUUUUUGUUUUCUUUUAGUAUUUGGGAUUACGAAUUUAUACAUAAAACGUAUUCCUAAAUAUUAUUAAUAAAGUUUUGGGUAUAGACGUUAGAACGGUUAGGAUUUUACCCGAUAAGAUAAAAGACCUUCUUACCGAGGAGGAUUUUUCUUGAACCAUAGACAGACCAACGACUAGAAGUAUAAUAACACUUUAGUUUUUAUCAGACAAUAAAACAAUGCAGCUUACCUUAGGUAGGGCGUAUUUGGGGUGCUAAUACCUUCCCUUUACGCAACCAGUCUCCGUACCCGAUCUCUGAGACCAGUUAGGGUUCCUAGUGACCAAAAUACUAGAUGGCGACUCCAAAAAAUCAAACCAAAUAAAAAAAUUCGCCAGUCGAACCCGCAAUUGAAAAAUUGGUUUUUUUUAGGGUGCAACACUUUUUAUCAGAUCUUGUGAAAAUACUGGUUUAUUAUUUCUUGUUCUCGUAUAACAGUAGAGGGUUAUAUAUAUACAAAGCCUAGAAAGCUAUUUUAGGAAUAUUACUACGGGCCUAUAAUCUUGCAGAAUUAAAUACAAUGAAUCAAACUAAUUAGGAAUACACAGCUCAUUGACACUCCCCCUCAAGUUGGAGCAUAUAUGUUGCUCAUGCCCAACUUGCUAAGUGAGUUGUGAAAUACUUUGCCUGUGACAACUUUGGUGAGGACAUCUGCAAGUUGAUCUUUGGAUUUAACAAAGGACACCUCGAUGAUCUUUGCCUCGAGUUUUUCCUUGAUGAAAUGUCUAUCAACUUCAACAUGUUUGGUUCUAUCAUGUUGUACUGGAUUAUGUGCAAUAUCUAUUGCAGCUUUGUUGUCACAAUUCAAUUGCAUGGCAUGAUUGGGUUUGAACCCCAAUUCCCCUAAUAAAUUCCUUAUCCAGAGUAGCUCACAUACUUCGUGUGCCAUACCUCGAUAUUCUGCUUCAGCACUUGAUCUUGACACUACGUUCUGUUUUUUACUUCGCCAAGAUACUAGAUUGCCUCCCACAAAGGUAAAAUAUCCAGAUGUAGAUCGUCUGUCAGUAAUAGAGCCUGCCCAGUCUGCAUCGGUGUGACCCUCGAUAUCUAAAUGACCAUGUCGUGAGAACAUCAAUCCUCUUCCAGGAGCUGACUUCAAGUAUCUCAGAAUUCGGUUUACUGCAUCCAUGUAGGCUUCACUUGGUGCAUGCAUGAACUGACUUACCACACUUACAGCAUAUGCUAUAUCAGGUCUAGUGUGUCCCAAAUAAAUCAACUUACCUACAAGGCGUUGAUAUCUUCCUUUGUUGGUGGGUACCUGAUUAGGAUAUUCACCAAGUUGAUGAUUCAACUCCAUUGGCGUGUCUGCUGGUUUACUAGCUAACAUUCCAGUGUCAGUUAAAAUAUCAAGGAUAUAUUUCCGUUGUGAUAGAAAUAUUCCUUGUUUAGAACGAGCCACUUCGAUGCCUAAAAAAUACUUUAGAGCACCAAGAUCUUUCAUUUCAAACUCACUUGCCAAGUGCCGCUGCAGUGCUGCCUUUUCCUCCGGGUCAUUCCCUGUAACUACCAUAUCAUCAACAUAUACAAUAAGGGCAGUGACUUUACCUUUCUUAUGUUUCAAGAAAAGUGUAUGAUCUGAGUUACUUUGCUUGUAUCCGAACCCUUUCAUUGACUUGCUGAACUUUCCAAACCAUGCUCUAGGUGAUUGUUUCAAUCCAUAAAGAUACUUUCUUAGUUUACACACCAUGUUGCCUUUAUCAGGUCCCAUCUUGCAUCCCGGAGGGGGAUCCAUAUAGACUUCCUCUUCUAGAUCACCAUGCAAAAAUGCAUUUUUGACAUCAAACUGGUGUAAUGGCCAAUCUAGGUUUGCUGCCAGAGAAAGAAGUACUCGAAUUGUGUUAAUCUUGGCUACAGGAGCAAAUGUCUCCCCAUAAUCAAUCCCAUAAGUCUGAGUGUAUCCUUUCGCCACCAAUCUUGCUUUGUAUCGCUCAAUGGAGCCAUCUGCCUUGAACUUUACUGUAUAUAUCCAUCUACAACCCACUGUUCUCUUUCCUUUUGGAAGGAUAGUCAUCUCCCAAGUGGAAUUCUUCUGAAGGGACUCCAUUUCAUCAUUCAUUGCUUGGGACCACUUGGGAUCUUUCAAAGCUUCCUGCACAUUACUUGGAAUAGAUACAGUGGAUAAUUGACAUACAAAUGAUGCACAUGACAGAGAUAGCCUAUGUAGGGACACAUGAUUAGCAAUAGGGUAUUUAACAUUUGUUUUAAGGUCAGGGUCAUAUUGUUGUCUAGGAAUACCUCUAGUCGUACGAGGAGGUAGUUGAUAACUUGUGUUUCCUGUAUUACUUGACUCAGGUAGAGUGAUUGAGUUGGAGUUUGAAUGUUUAAUUACCUGUGGGAAAUCAUCAGGACCUGAUUGGAUGUAUGGUGAUGGUACUGUAGUAGGAGUUGUAGAGGGGAAAUUAUCUGAACUAGUACCAGCAUCUGGAGUUCUUAGUGACUCUUGAUCUUGUUGCACCACUAUAACUAGUUGUUCGGAAUCUGAUUGCUCAGUACCAGCAUCUAGAGUUCUUAGUAACUCCUAUUCUUGUUGCACCAUUGUAACUGGUUGUUCAGACACCGACUGCUCUAAAACCUUUUGUUGAAUUUGGAUCUGAGUAUCUUUUGCAAAGAUAGAGCUCUCCCCCUACAGAGGAUGCUUAGAGACUCCCCCUGAGUAAUAGAACUCACUCUCGUGGAAAGUCACAUCUGCAGUAAUGUGCAAGGUUUGAGUAGGAGGAUGGAAACAUUUAUAGCCCUUCUGAGUAUCAGCAUAACCCACAAAGACACAACGCAGAGCACAUGGAUCAAGCUUGCCACGUUGGUGUGGAUAUAACUGAACAUAAACAACACAUCCAAAGAUACAUGGUUCGAGAUUUGGUGUAGAUGGCAUGGUGGGGAGAGUGGUCAAUGUCUGAAAUGGAGUUUUAUACUGAAGAGUGCUAGAUGGUGUUCUAUUAAUGAGGUAAGCAGCAGAACAAAGAGCCUCCCCCAAAAAAUAAUGAGGUAAACUGGCCUCAAAUAAAGAGGCACGAACAACUUCCAAGAGAUGUCGAUUAUUACGCUCUGCGACACCAUUCUGUUGUGGUGUAUAUGCACAUGUGGUGUGAUGAACAAUACCAUGUUGACUUAAAAAAUUAUGAAGGUCAUUGUUGACAUAUUCUCCUCCAUUGUCAGACCGGAGGGUCAUGAUUUUCUUGUCAAACUGAGUAGCAACAUAUUGAUAAAAUAGUUUGAAUUUGAUGGUAACUUCACUUUUCUGUCUUAAAAGAAACACCCAGGUCAUCCGAGUGCAAUCAUCAAUAAACGUCAUAAACCACUUAUAACCAGUAAUAGUAGGAACUCGUGAUGGUCCCCAAACAUCAGAAUGAACAAUCAUGAAAGGCAUGGAACUUUUAUUCAACCUUAAUGGGUAAGAAAUGCGAUGACUUUUCGCCAAAAUGCAAGUUUCACAAUGAAAGUCUGAUUCAAUAAACUGAGAAAACAAAUCUGGAAAUAGAAGUUUCAGAUAACCAAACGAGGCAUGCCCUAAUCGUCGAUGCCAUAACCAAAUUUUCUUCAUUCUGAUGGACUCACCUCCUCUCACAUGAUGUGCAUGACUCAAUCUCUUAGUUAUGUCAUCUGUCAAGUCCAGAUAAUAUAAUUUUCCCCUCCUAGUACCACAUUCAAUCACGGCCUUGCUGAGAAGAUCCUGAAAUAGACAAUAUAAUGGCCAAAAACACACGGUGCAAUUAAGGGAAUCAAUGAUCUGAGGAACAGAUAACAAGUCAUAGUCCAGUGAAGGGACAACUAAGACAUGAUCAAGACUUAAUGAGGAUGUGAGAGAUAAGGACCCUUCUCUCAUAACUCGGGAGGUGGUGCCAUUGGUACUAACAAUAUGUGUUUGGCUGGAAGGUGUGGCAGAGUGUAACCCAAUAAAACUAGAUGUCAUGUGAUUAGUGGCACCAAUGUCAAUAAUCCAUGAUCUAUUACAAGUAAGUGAAGAUGUGCAAGAGUUACCUGAGGUGGCCAAGGCCUUGGAGUCAGUUGUACCUGAUGGAGUUUCUAAUGUAGUCUCCUGAGAUGAUUGGGCAGAUGCAAAUGAUGCUCGGUUUGAGUCCCUCUUGCGCCUUUUGUGAACCCAUCCUUCUGGAUAACCAAUGAUCUCAUAACAGCCCUUAAUUGUGUGAUUAUCUAAACCACAUUUGGUAUAUUUCAUUGGUGGUCGGUUACGAGCAGGGUCAACGUUAUAGCUAUGCAGCCGAGAUUGUUUUACCCUUGCACCAGCCAAGGCUGUGGCUGCGUUGGUUGCACCAGCUUCAGACAUGGUUCCUUGUUUGUUACUUUCCCUUUUAAUAUGUGCGUAUGCACCCUCAAGUUCUGGUUUAGGCUCCAUCCUCAAAAUCUCUCCUCGAAUUUCAUCAAAAUUAUUGUCUAAACCUGCAAGAAAUAUGUAAACUCGAAGACGAUCAACCUCUUUCCGUCUAAUUUCAAUGUCUGAUGGAUGCUCCAUUGUGCUUGGAUUUAAUUGAUCAAGCUCCUGAAAAAUCUCAGUAAGCUCACUGUAAUACUUGGCAACUGAUGCACCAGCUUGUCUCAUUAUGAAUGAUCUUCUGUGCAGGUCAUAAAUCUUAGCUUCAUCAGCACCAUCUGAAUAGGUUUGCUUGAUUGCAUCCCAGACUUGCUUUGCUGUGUCAUAACGAAUAAACCUUUUAAUUUGAUUAGGCUGCAUGGCAUCAAACAACCAACUCUUGACUUGGCAGUCUGAUGCUCGCCAUUUAUUAAAUGUGGAAUUUGUGACUGCAGGCUGGGCAAUAUCACCAGUCAGAUGGCCAUGCUUUUCUCGCCCAGCUAUCUUCAUCUCUAUGAUUUGAUGCCAUAAAGAAUAGUUAUUCUCAUCAAGUUUUAUUCCUGCAGAGAAGUUGGAGGUGUCACUCUGCAAUGUGACUAUUUGUGUGGUAGUGUUGGAGUCUCCUGACAUGAAAGAUUGAUUAGUGUUUGUUGAACAAUCAUCAUCGGCCAUGAUAUUGGCUUACAAGUGAUGAGAGAAAGGAGAAAGAACAGAGUAAUUUGACUAAUGUAACAAAAAAAAAAAGAGCAAGUAGAGUAAUUUGGUUGAGGGAACGGUGAAAGGUGAUUUAGUAUUUCUUUUGACUUGUGGGUUGGAAUGUGAAUAAUCUGACUGUGUGGAUGAUGGUUGCUGCUGCGAAGGGUUCUGUUGGGUUUGUAUGACGGCUGCUGUUGCGGAAACGAUUUAUAAAAUUAGGGCAAGAGACAGUCAAGAUCGACUGCUCUGAUACCAUAUCAGAUCUUGUGAAAAUACUGGUUUAUUAUUUCUUGUUCUCGUAUAACAGCAGAGGGUUAUAUAUAUACAAAGCCUAGAAAGCUAUUUUAGAAAUAUUACUACGGGCCUAUAAUCCUGCAGAAUUAGAUACAAUGAAUCAAACUAAUUAGGAAUACACAGCUCAUUGACACUUUUCAACCGGGUUUUUUGGAAGUUGAUAGUCAGGCACAUCAUUUUGCCCACAAGGAUCACCCAUUGAUUUUGAAUGAAGAGCAAGAAUAUCAUGGUGAAGGAGUAAAGUGCUUCGUGUGCACGGAACCAAUGUCUGGUCCUAGCUAUAGUUGCAUUUCUCGCAACUUGUUUCUUCACAAGAAGUGUGCUGAGCUACCCCCGGAGAUCAAGAGGCACAUUCAUCCAGAACACCCUCUUCGUCUACUGCCAAAUCAUGAUACGAUGUGUGAUUUUUGCAACGAAACUUGCUAUGAGAGUUUUGUUUACUGCUGUCUUGUGUGCGAAUUCAACCUCCAUAUCAAAUGUGCUUUUCCACCGUGCGUUUAUGCAGCUGAUCAGGAUCAAAGGCAUCUAUUUAGACGCCUACUGAAUCCACUUUCAUUCAAAUCAAUCUCCUUCACCUGCAAUGCAUGUGGCACAGAUGGAGAUGGCUCCCCUUUCAUGUGCACCUUGUGCCAUCUCGUGGUCCACGAAGAAUGCAUUUCAUUGCACUGCACCAUCAUCCCCAAAUCAUCCACACAUAUCAACUUCAACAAUGCAUCGAAUCUAUAAACAGGUACUGUUGAAUUUGCCUUCGGGAAGUUGACUCAAAUUACGGAGUUUACUAUUGCCCGGACUGUGACUUCGUUGCACACGUGAAUUGUAGUAGAGAAUAUGGGGAUUCUGCAACAGAGAUUGUGGUAGAAAACGAAGAAGAGCAAAGUGUGGCUGUUGAUGAUCAAUCCAUGGAACCUAGCUUUCGCGUUGUCCGUGAGAUCAAGCAUGGAGAAGAGAGAAUAAUUGAAGAGAUCAAACAUUUCAGUCAUCAACAUAACCUAAUCCUUAUUGACAAGGUUGAUGAUGAUCUAAAGUGUGAUGGGUGCAUGUUACCAAUCUCAACUGACAAAACCUGCUUAGAAUUACCAGGCGAAAAAAGUGGCAAUAUCACGAAAACCAACUGAUUCUUUUAUAUAACCUAUGGGAACAUGAUCUGUACAAGUGUAGUGUGUGCAAGCAAUAUUUUCGUGGGCUCAGCUACUGUUGUGUUAUAUGUGGACUCUGGAUUGAUGUCCAAUGCUUCAAAUCAUUGAAAGAUUCUUUUAAACACAGAGGUCAUGAUGAGCAUCCCCUUUAUCUUCCAGCGGGCAGAAAGAGUAUUCUCCAUUGCGAUAUUGGAGGUCGCGGGGCUCCCCCUUGGCUUGCAGAUGACGGAGAGAAUAUUCCCCAUUGCAGUGGCUGUUGUCACCGAAGAAUCAAAGGUAUUUUUUAAAUGUGCGGUUUGCGAUUUCAAGCUGGGUAUAAAAUGUGCUACACUGCCAUACAUAGCAAGACACGAGUAUGAUGACCAUCCUCUCUUCCUCACCUACAUUAAUGAAAAUGACUACCAGCCUUCCUGCUUAAUUUGUGAAAAAGAUAGAGACCCCAAGCUCUGGUUCUACCGUUGUGAGGAAUGCGACUUCGAUGCUCAUCCAGAAUGUGCUCUCGGGAAAUACACAUAUUUCAAGGCAGGGGGGGUUCGAACAUAUCCUAAACACCCUCACCCUCUUGCUUUGGUCGUCAAGACAGAGGAUUAUGCAGCAUGCGAUAUCUGUGGUGAGCCUUGCGAUGACUUGGCCCUUGAAUGUACUGAUCAUAACUGCAGUUUUAUCGUCCACAGGAAAAGAAGGCAAUGCUGGAUGCCAUUAUGGUAAUUGGAUUGCAGUUGUUGGCUUUUUUCUUAUUUUUGGGUUAUGAUUGUUGGCAGUUGCUAGACAGAGGAUUAUUAUCUCUGUUUCUUUUUACGCGUAUGAGAUCGCUUUUUUUUGUCUGAGCAAUGGAUGCUAUUUUAUUAAAAUUGGAAAUGAAAUAUUUUAUUUUAAUAAAAAUAAUUGGUAGUUUGUUGUUUCUUUGAGCCUUCGUAGUGACAAAGAUGCAAGAGCCACCAUUUGUUUUAGCUUAGCAGGAAGCUCUCGAUCCUCUCCAUAAAUUCCGCUUUUACAUAUUGCUUCCUGAAGUUCAGGAAACAACACGGUAUUGGUGACGCGGUCUCUAAUAAUAAAUAAAUGUAUUUAAAUAAUAUUUAAAACAAAUACCUUAGGAGCAUUCGACAGCUUUGUCCUUUAAUAAGAUAUAAUAGUUUUGAUAUCCGUGCAAUGUUGCGGGUCAAUUUUUUAUAUAAAAAAUAAAUAAAAAUUUAAAAAUCUUGGGUUUUUCUGCAAAGUUAUACCCAAGAAUCUUGGGUUUGGCUGCAACGUCUGACCUAAGAGUAAUAUUUAUAAUAUUAAUAAUAAAAUUUAACUUGCAUGACCCAAAUUUAAGUGAGCCUGACUGUAACACCGGACCCAAGAAUAUUGGAUCUGGAUUUGGCUAUAAGGUCGUGUAAUUAAAAUUUUGAUAAUUAAAUAGAUUAAUUAGAAAAAAGAAAAAAAUCAACAGAAAGGAAAAAACUAAUGAAGAAAAAGAAAAAAAAAUUAAAUUAAUUGGGUUAACCCUUUAAACCAGGUUAUCCCAUAAAACCUGGGAUUUGCGUCAUGAAAGUUUGAUAACUAAAUAGAAAAAAACAAUGACGGGUUUACCCAGAAUUAACCGAGUUAACCCCUCAAACCAAGUUAACCCAUCAAGCUCAGGAUACGUGUCAUGAAAAUCUGAUAAUUAAAUAGAAAGAAAAUUAACUUUAACAAACUAAACUAAAUGAAAAAAAUAAUUCGUCAAAUCAGGUUAACCCAUCAAACCCGAGAUUCGUAUCAUAAAAAUAUGAUAACGAAAUAAAAAAAAUUAACAUUAACAAACUAAAUCAAACAAAAAAAAUUAUUUAAAAAAAAUUAAAAAGAAAAAACAAAAGAAAAAAACAGUCAUAUAAUAUAAUACAAUAUAAUAAUAAUUAUAAUGAAAAAACGUAAGGAAAGCUAAAGCUUAAUUCUGAAUCAACUCAAUAUUAAAAAAUAAAUUUAAUAAAGAUAAUUUAAAAAAUAAACAUGUGGAGGAAACACUGCAGCCAAACAAAAAUCAUGUAAGGGAAACACUGUAGUAAUCCACAGUGUUUUUUUUUUUAAAAAAAAGCUACAAAGCCAAGUUCUCAACCAACUUAAUAUAUAUAAAAAACCGAGAUCCGUGUAAUAAAAGUAUGAUAACUGAAUUAAUUUUUUUUUUUCACAUUAACAAACUAAAUUGAACAAAAAAAAUUCAUUAAAAGAAAAAAAAACACAAAGAAAAAAGCAAAAAAAAAAACCCAUGGGCAAAGUUGCUACAGUGAAAAACCCACGCGUUUAAAAAAAAAAAUCUACUAUAGUGAAAAACCCAUGUGUUAAAAAAAAACAUGUACAAAAAAAUAAAAAGAAAAAAAAAGCUGCUAUAGUUAAAAAACAUUUUUAAAAAAAGAAAAACUGCUACAGAAAAAAAAAACUAAAAACGAAAAAAAAAAGCCACGGAAGAAAAAACUGCAAAAAAAAACUUUAGCUACAGUGAAAAAGCUAUGCAUUUUAGAGUUCUUAUUAACCUUUCAAACCAGGAUAACCCUUCAAACAUUAGAUUCGCGUUAUGAAAGUUUAAUAACUAAAUAGAAAAAAAAAUUAACAGAUUAACCCAUAAUUAACUGGGUUAACCUGUCAAGCUUGGAAUACGUGUCAUGAAAGUCUGAUAAUUAAAUUGAAAGAAAUUUAACAUUAACAAACUAAACUAAAUGAAAAAAUUAAUUAAAAAAAAAUAUCUAGUUAACUCUAAUAUAAAAUACUUACGCCUAUAGAUUUUUAACGUUUAGGUACCUCUAAUGUAAAAUACUUACACCCAUAGGCAAAUGAGUAAUAUAGGAAGUUGAGGAAACCCAGCAAAAGUCAACGAGUCUUCUUCUCCAAGAAAAGAGGGGAAAGUGUCUUCUUAUGCACAUACUUGAACAACCUCAUCCGCACAAAUAGAGGAGCCUGUAGCUUUCCUCGUGAUCUUCUACCCACCUCUUCCUUACGGGUAACACGCUUCCUUCCUUUUCGGGUUUCUUUGAAUCUUGGGUCCUUUGAGUUAUUUUUCGUUUCGGCUCUGUGUUCCAUAAUCUUUGAUAAAGGGGAAGAGGGAAGAAAAAUGCUUCCCCAGCAAUUUACAAAGUUCCCAUCUUUAUGGUAAUUCACUGUGUUCUGUGAUCUCAAUUGUUGAUCAGUACUGUAGCAGUAAGCAGCUGAAUUUAUUUAAUUAGCCGUCGGAGAAGAGGUCAAUUUUCAGGUUAGAAGGUGAGGAGUUGAAUACUAGGAGGAGAAGAUAAUAUGGAGUUCAAAACUUAAUAUAUAGUCCAAGACUAUUAGGGCACGCCCUGUCAGUCUUUCAGUAAUAAUUAUCGUUGAAUGACUGUCCUCCUCAGUUUAGAACACCAAGUUAUCUCCAUGUAUCUAUCUCUCUUUGUUUCUUGAUGAAAUUCGGUAGACUUGCAGGAUGGUGCUUCCGCGAUGUAUAUGUCGUUGGUUUUCCAUAUCUUUUGCACUAGGAAAGCCAUAUAUGGGCUAGGGUUAGGUAUAGAGCCAUGACUAAAUGUUCUGAGGCUGUAAACACUUGAAAAUAACAUCUGCAAUAUAGUACACCCUUGGGCAUGUGGGAUUUGUUUUUGGUCUAGGGACUUUGAACAUUAUUGGAGGCACAAAUUUAAUACAUGAUGUGUACCUCUGAAGCAGAAUCUUUAUCUUUGAUUAUGAUCUAUAAAGUAAGAGUUGUCAAUUGCUCUCUUGCACGCAUGCAACCGUCAAUGGUCCCAGAUUGAAUAACACAUGUAACAGUCAAUGCUUCAAGGAUGAUGAUAUCUAAAGGCAAGCGAUCUCCGUGUUCUGUUCUUUGUGGAGUCAGAUUGAACACAAGAUUGCCAUCCGAGACUUCAUUUUCAAUCUGUUUCGUGAACUGUAAAUGCUUGAUGAAUGAUUGAAAUCAUGCUUGAACUUGACAACUCCAUUGUUUAGUCACUUUCCAGAUCAUGCAUCUAGAGAUUGUUAUGUUUUUCCUGCUUACUGCUUUCUCUGAGUCCUAACAGUAAUCGAACUGAGUCAACUCCUCCUCCUUGCACAGACUGUGUUAGCCGGUUGACUAACUGAGGCAGUAUCUGGAUUGCAGGAGUUUUCAUACAAUUAAUUAGAUUUUUAAUUUCUUGUGAUAUAUAGUAUGGCGUACUAAACAUGUUAUUCACUAUUGAUGUGUAUUUGGAAUUGAAAAAGGGUUAGUGAUUUCUAAUUGUUCAUCCUUAUGCAGGAGAUAGAACUGUAGUAGCUUUCAUGUAAUCAUGAUCUUUCUUUUAAUAGUUUAUUUACAUAAUAUAUUAUGGUGAUAUAUAGUUAAAUUUUAAUUAUUUUAAAAAACAAGGAUUUACUUUAAAAAACACAAUCUAUCACACUCUAAAAAAUACCUGUGGUAAACUUAGAGUAUGGUAUUGUUGUUAUUGCUAUUUCAAAAAUUUAAGAUUUAAAGGAUCACCAUCUUGUAUGCUAAUUAUUUGUGAUGAGACGAUUAGAUAAUAAAAUGCCAAAACUGAAUAAGGGAAGGAACGAAAAAACAAAAAACCCCAUCCAAUAGACUAGCAUCAUUUUCGUUUUAGUAUUUUUCAAGGCUAAAAUAGACUAUAUGGCCUGUUUGUUUUUCGUGGUUGUCGUUGUCAUCAACAAUAAUAAUUAUUAAUAUUAACAAAAAAAAGUUAAAAGAGAUUUUCAAGGCUAAAAUAGACUAUAUGGCCUGUUUUUUUUUUGUUUUUAAAUUAAAUUAUAUUUUUAGUCAUCUCUCACAUAGGUCAAGUCUAAGGCCCCUUCAAUGUUUUUAGGCCGAUGAUUGGUUUGCUUGAUAAUGCUAAGCCCAAUUGUAAUUAUUUUGGCCCAUUUCUUGUUCAUGAAUCCGUUGUUCAUGUCUUGAGGCCCAUCUCAAAUUCGAGCAGAGAACCACACUGAUAUUAUUCCCUUUCACAUAUGCUUAUCUACAUAAUAAAUCCACUCGACGUCCUUUGAUCUUCAUCCUGCUACCAGCAAAAUAAUUGUAUUUUUACACCCCUCUUGUCAACUGAUCAUUUAUGAUAUUUGAAAAUUAUGUUUUUUACAUUAAAAAUAGUGUGGGGCAGUAACAUAUAGUUUUGUUAAACAAAAACUAUAAUAUAUUUUUUUAAAAAAAAGAGGUGGAUGAUAGGUCAUCCAACCCCUUAAAAAUAUGAGUGUAUUUUUAGAGAGUUAGUUCUCAAUUUCUUAUUGUCUUGAAAUAAACUUGAAAUACUAUUUUUUUAUUUCAUUAAUAACUUAUUAUAUGGACAUGAUCCGUUAACUAAGCAAUGGACCAAUCCAAUAGAAUACUAAGUAAUGGACCAAUCCAGUAAUAAAAAGUUGAGGAGACCCAGCUCAAGUCAACGAGUCUUCUACUCCAACCAGAAAAGAAAGGGGAAAGUGUCUUCUUAUUCACAUGCUUAUCUAAUAUCAUCUGCACAAAUAGAAGUAACUUUCCUUGUGAUCUUCUUCCCACCUCCUCCUUACAGAUAACACCCUCCCUUCCUUUUCGGGCUUCUUUGAAUUUUGGUAUCCGAUCUUAAUGGGAAAUCACUGUGUUCUGGAUCUCGUUGGUUGAUCUGUAAUGUAGCAAUAAGCAGCUGUAAUUAUUUAAUUAGCCGUCGUCGGUGAAGAGGUCAAGUUUCAGUUCAGAUGGUGAGGUAUUGAAUUCUAGUAGCACUCAACUUUUAUUUGCCUCUUCAAUUUGGCCUCCCUAAGUCUUGCCUUGGCUCAACACCCCUCAUUUCCUGCUCUGUCCGCUGAGAGAGCCAGAGACAUGGAGGUUGAACAUUUUAGCCACCCAGAUCAUCCAUUGAUCCUCAUUAAUCAAGUUCUCGAAUAUAGUUGCAAACUAGUUAUUUGCUCUGGAUGCGAGGGACCAAUAUGGGGUCCUUGCUACAGUUGCACCUCUUGCUACUUCUUUCUUCAUAAGACAUGCGCCGAGCUGCCCCGUGAGAUCAAGCGGCGCAUUCAUCCUAGACACCCUCUCCAUCUACUGGCAAAGUCACCAUAUAAAGGAAAAUACCGUUGUAAUCGGUGCGACAAAACUUUCAACUGUUUUGUUUACCAUUGUUCUUUCUGUCAGUUUGAUCUUGAUAUCAAAUGUGCUUUUCCACCGGGUUUUUUGGAGGUUGAUAGUCAAUUUGCCCACAAGGAUCAUCCAUUGAUUUUGAAUGAAGAGCAAGAAUAUCAUGGUGAAGGAGUUACGUGCUCUGUGUGCAAGGAACCAAUGUCGGGUCCUAGCUAUAGUUGCACUCCUUGCAACUUCUUUCUUCACAAGAAGUGUGCUGAGCUACCCCCAGAGAUCAAGCGGCACAUUCAUCCAGAACAACCUCUUCGUCUACUGCCAAAUCAUGAUACGAUGUGUGAUUUUUGCAACGAAACUUGCUAUGAGAGUUUUGUUUACUGCUGUUUUGUUUGUGAAUUCACCCUCCAUAUCAAAUGUGCUUUUCCACCGUGCAUUGAUGCAGCUGAUCAGAAUCAAAGGCAUCAAUUUAGACGCCUAAUGAAUCCACUUUCAUUAAAAUCAAUCUCCUUCACUUGCAAUGCAUGUGGCACAGAUGGUGAUGACUCCCCAUUUGGAUGCACUAUGUGCCAACUCGUGGUCCACAGAAAAUGCAUUUCAUUGCCACGCACCCUUAAAACGGUACUGCACCAUCAUCCCCAAAUCAUCCACACCUAUCAUCCUCAACAAUGUAUCAAAUCUAUAAACAAGUACUGUGGAAUUUGCCGUCGGGAAGUUGAUACAGAAUACGGAGUUUACUAUUGCCCAGACUGUGACUUUGUUGCACACGUGAAUUGUAGCAGAGAAUAUGGCGAUUCUGCAUCAGAGACUGCAGGACAAAGUGUGACUGUUGAUGAUCAAUUCAUGGAACCUAGCUUUUGCGUUGUCCGUGAGAUCAAGCAUGGAGAGGAGAGAAUAAUUGAAGAGAUCGAGCAUUUCAGUCAUCAACAUAACCUAAUCCUUACUGACAAGGUUGAUGAUGAUCUAAAGUGUGAUGGGUGUAUGUUACCAAUCUCAACUCCAUUUUAUAGUUGUGUCAGUUGUAAUUUCUUUCUUGACAAAACCUGCAGUAUAGAAUUACCCAGGCGAAAAAAAUGGCAAUAUCACGAAAACCAAUUGAUUCUUUCAUGGAACCAAGGGGAACAUGAUCUGUACAAGUGUAGAGUGUGUAAUCAAGAUUUUCGUGGGCUCAGGUACGUAUGUGAUGUAUGUGGACUCUGCUUUGAUGUCCGAUGCUUCAAAUCAAUAUUGAAAGAUUCUUUUAAACAUGGAGGUCAUGAGCAUCCCCUUUAUCUUCCAGCGGACAGAAAGAGUAUUCUCCGUUGCAAUAUUGGGCGUCCCCCUUUGCUUGCAGAUGACGGAGAGAAUAUUCCGCAUUGCAGUGGCUGUUGUGUCAGUGAAGAAUCAAAGGUAUUUUUAAAAUGUGCGCGUUGCGAUUUCAAGCUGGGUAUGAAAUGUGCUACACUGCCAUACAAAGCAAGACACGAGUAUGAUGACCAUCCUCUCUUCCUCACCUACAUUAAUGAAAAUGACUACCAGCCUUCCUGCUUAAUUUGUGAAAAAGAUAGAGACCCGAAGCUCUGGUUCUACCGAUGUGAGGAAUGCGACUUCGAUGCUCAUCCUGAAUGUGCUCUCGGGAGAUACCCAUAUGUCAAGCCAGGGGAGGUUCACAAAUAUCGUAAACACCCUCACCCUCUUGCUUUGGUCGACAAGACAGAGGAUUAUCGUCCACAGGCAUGCGAUACUUGUGGUGAGCCUUGCGAUGACUUGGCCCUUGAAUGUACUGAUCCUAACUGCAGUUUUAUCGUCCACAGGAAAAGAAGGCAAUGCCGGGUAUCAUUAUGGUAAUUGGAUUGCAGUUGUUGGCUUUUUUCUUAUUUUUGGGUUAUGAUUGUUGAGGUGAAUGGUUAGCUUCAUACUUAUUAUCUUUGUUUCUAUUUUCGCAUUUCAGAUCACUUUUUUUCUCUUUUUUUCUGAACAAUAAAAGAUGCUAUUUCAUUAAAACUGUCAAUGUAUUUUGUUGUUUCUUUGUGCCUUUGUAAGUGACGAAGAUGCAUGACCUUCCACCAUUUUUUUUAGCUUAGCAGGAAGCUCUCCAUAAAUUCUGCUUUUACAUUUUUGUUAUAGAUUUUAUUGUAAAUGCAUAGAAAUAUUGUCAUAUAAAAUAACACUUAUCUAACCGAUAUCAAUUAUUUUCAUUCAAAUAUUUAAUUUUUAUUUCCUUAACACAAUCUAAUAAUAAAUAAAUAUAUUUAAAUAAUAUUUAAAACGCAUACCUAAAAGGCAUUAAAUAGCUUUGUCCUUUAAUAAGAUAUAUCAUGAAAAAAUAAGUUAAUUCAUGUUUUUGGUAUUUUUCUUCUUAAGUAAGAAUAAGAAUAAGCCUCCAUCUUUGUUUAUCUAAUUUCAAAACCACGAAGGGAUUUAGAGGCCCAAAUCCUAAAAAAAAAAAAAAAAACUAAAUAGGAAAAAAAAUAUAAAUCAACUAAUAAAAUAUCACAAGUCUAGAUAAUUUUUUUGGUUUUAUUUGAAAGUCUUGUUGAUUUUAAAUGAUUACAAAAUUCUAAUUUUAUAGAAAAUAAAGCUUUUAAAAUCUUCCAAUAAAAUUUUAGUUCGAUUAAGAUAAAAAAAAAAAAAAUUAUGCCCUUUACAAGAUUGCUUAUUUUUAAAAAUAUAUCAUAUAUCAAUCUUGUCUCGAAUUCAAAUUGUUGUUGCUUCAAUUUUGUAAGUAUCAAAUUAAAAAUCUCUAACCUUUUGCACGUGCUAGCAACAUAUUCCCAGCCUUCUCGGUAUUAAGAGUUCUUAUGGCAGCUUAUGGAAACUUUAUUGUCAUCAUCAAGGUUGUCAAUUUCGUUCCGUUCCGUCCGAAAUGGCCGAAACAUUCCAUACCAAUUUAAAAAACGAAACAAAACGAAACAAAUUCCAUCUCAUUUUAAAUCUCGGCCCGUUCCGGAAAUUCCGGCCGAAACGUUCCGGUUUCAUUCCGGUUGUUCCGUUUCGGCCAAAAAAUAUUAUUUUUAAAAAAUUAAUAUAUGGUUUAUAUUAUUUUAAGUUAAAGAUCUAUUUAAUCUUUACUAUUUAAAAAUAUUUUAAAUUUUAAAAUUAUAUUUGUUUGGCAUUAUGUUUGUAUUGCAUAAUUUAUAAUUAAUUUAUCUUGAAUUUGAAUUAUGUUUGUGGAAUAUAUAUAUAUAUAUAUAUAUAUAUAUAUAUAUAUAUAUAUAUAUAUAUAUAUGAACAGUACAACCCCGAAACGGCAUGCCGAAACACUCCGAAACCGAAACAUUUCGUUCCAAUUGAAAAAACAAAACACCUAUCGAAACGGAAUUGACAACCUUGGUCAUCAUACAACUUCGUUAGCAUAUUCAUAGGCAUUCACAGUUCUUCAAGAAUUCUCUUCAACCAUAACAUUUCACAAACUCCAUUUCCAUAACCUUAUAUUCUACUUAAGCGCUGCUUCUUACAAUCACAUUUUGUUUCUCUUCAGCUUUAUUUUGCCAAGUAACCAUAUUUCCCCAGAUUUAAGUAUAAUAUUCUAAUGUGCAUCUUCUAUCAAUGACUAAACCUGCCCAAUCUGUAUCAGUAUCAAGAUGUUUUGCAUGGGGUGAGUGUAACAAUCCCAAUAUUUGUAUUCAAAACAAAGAGGAAGGACAUGAUAAUUCAAUUAAGGUUAGGGAUUUUUAUUCUUUUUUGUAAUUAAUAAAAAUUUCAGUAGAAUUUCCUCUAUGUUUUUAGAUAUCAAGAUAUCGAUUCUUUUUCCGCAAUCCCCGUAAUCAAAUUUUUUACUCGUCUUAUCAUCCAGGACUGAUUGUGUAAACUAUUUUGUGUAAAGAUAGGUACAGUGAGCGCAUAAACCAACUUACUAAACUCACAAUAAAUGUAAUAUUAGAUCAUGUUUGUGAUAAGUAAAUCAGCUCUCCCACUAACUUUUGAUACUGUGUUGUCUUUGUUAAACUAAUUUAGAUCAAACAAAAAAAGGAGGUUAGAAUUCUGAAUAAACUGUAUAUUAUGAAUGCAUAGUCUUAACCUAAUUACAAAUAAAGUAUAUAUAGGUUAAACUGAAAGUACUAUUCUACCCUUAAUAAAUAAGACAACAUAAAUAUUAUUUAACAUCUCCCCUCAAACUCACGAUGCGGCAGCUACAAGCAUCGAGAGUUUGCCAACUAGAAAACGAAAACGAGAUAUGGAAUGCGCCUUGGUAAAGAAAUCUGCAAUUUGCAAUGAAGAAGGAACAAAAGGCAAAGUAAUGGUUCCAUGCUUGAGAUGAUGACGAGUAAGAUGACAAUCGAUUUCAAUGUGCUUAGUCCGCUCAUGAAAAACCGAGUUGUGAGCAAUCUGAAUAGAACUCUGGUUGUCACAAUACAUAGGAGUAGGAUGGGAAAAGGAAACUCUCAUAUCAGCAAGUAACCAACGUAACCAAAUAAUCUCUUUGGUAGUAGAUGCCAUGGCACGAUAUUCUGCUUCGGUGGAUGAUUGAGAAACAAUAGAUUGUUUCUUGCUCUUCCAAGAAAUAAGAGAAUCACCUAAAAAGAUACAAAACCCGGUAACAGACUUGCGAUCUGUGGGAUCACUACCAUGAUCAGCAUCAGAGUAUGCAUGCAACUCCAAGGAAGAGGUGGAUGAAAGUAAAAGACUUUGAAAAACUGUACCCCGAAGAUAUCGCAAAAUACGAAGAACAGCUGCCCAAUGAACAGUAGUAGGAGAAGCAACAAACUGACUAACAACAUGAACAACAUAUGCAAUAUCUGGACGAGUAAUGGUGAGAUAUACCAAACUCCCAACAAUAGUGCGGUAUAAAGUAGGAUCUAUCAAAGGUAAACCAUCAGAAAAAGAAUACCUUGUGUUAACCUCAAUAGGAGUAUCCACAGUCUUUAUCUUCCAGCGGACAGAAAGAAUAUUCUCCGUUGCCGUAUUGGGGGUGAGGGGUUUCCCCCUUUGCUUGCAUCGGACGGAGAGAAUAUUCCGCAUUGCAGUGGCUGUUGUGUCAGUGAAGAAUCAAAGGUAUUUUUGAAAUGUGCGGUUUGCGAUUUCAAGCUGGGUAUGAAAUGUGCUACACUGCCAUACAAAGCAAGACACGAGUAUGAUGACCAUCCUCUCUUCCUCACCUACAUUAAUGAAAAUGACUACCAGCCUUCCUGCAUAAUCUGUGAAAAGGAUAGAGACCCGAAGCUCUGGUUCUACCGUUGUGAGGAAUGCGACUUCGAUGCUCAUCCAGAAUGUGCUCUUGGGAAAUACCCAUACGUCAAGCUAGGGGUGGUUAUAACAUAUCCUAAACACCCUCACCCUCUUGCUUUGGUCGACAAGACAGAGGAUUAUCGUCCACAGGCAUGCGAUAUUUGUGGUGAACCUUGUGAUGGCUUAGCCGUUGAAUGUACUGAUCCUAACUGCAAUUUUAUCGCCCACAGGGAAAGAUGGAAAUGCUUUGACUCAUUACUAUAAUUGGAUUGCAUUUGUUGGCUUUUUUUCUUAUUCUUGGGUUAUGAUUGUUGGGGUGAAUGGUUAGCUUCAUACUUAUUAUCUCUGUUUCUAUUUUCGCUUAUCAGAUCACUUUUUUUUCUCUUUUUUUUACUGAACAAUAAAAGAUGCUAUUUCAUUAAAACUGUCAAUGUAGUUUGUUGUUUCUUUGUGCCUUCGUAAGUGACGAAGAUGUCUGACCUUCCACCAUUUUUUUCGCUUAGCAGGAAGCUCUCCAUAAAUUCUGCUUUUACAUUUUUGUUAUAGAUUUUAUUGUAAAUGCAUAAAAAUAUUUUCAUAAAAAAUAACACUUAUCUAAAUGAUAUCAAUUAUUUUCAUUCAAAUAUUUAAUUUUUAUUUCCUUAACACAAUCUAAUAAUAAAUAAAUGUAUUUAAAUAAUAUUUAAAACGAAGAUCUCAAGGGCAUUCCAUAGCUUUGUCCUUUAAUAAGAUAUCUCAUGAAAAAGUAAGUUAAUUUAUGUUUUUGGUAUUUUUCUUCUUAAGAAGAAUAAGAAUAAGAAUAAGAAUAAGCCUAUGUUUAUCUAAUUUCAAAACCACGAAGGGAUUUAGAGGCUCAAAUCCUAAAAAAAAAAAAAAAACUAAAUAGAAAAAAAAUUAUAAAUCAACUAAUAAAAUAUUAAGUCUAGAUAUUUUUUUUGUUUUAUUUGAAAGUCUUGUUGAUUUUAAAUGAUUACAAAAUUCUAAUUUUAUAGAAAAUAAAGCUUUUAAAAUUUUCUAAUAAAAUUUGAGUUGGAUUAAGAUAAAAAUAAAAAAAUUAUGCCCUUUACAAGAUUGCUUAUAUUUUAAAAAAUAUCAUAUAUUAAUCUUGUCUCGAAUUCAAAUUGUUGUUGCUUCAAUUUCGCAAGUAUCAAAUUAAAAAUCUCAAACCUUUUGCACGUGCGGGCAACAUUCCCAGCCUUCUUGGUAUUAAGAGUUCUUAUGGCAGCUUAUGACAGCUUUAUUGUCAUAAUACAACUUCGUUGGCAUAUUCAUCGGCAUUCACAGUUCUUCAAGAAUUCUCUUCAGCCAUAACAUUUCACAAACUCCAUUUUCAUAACCUUAUAUUCUACUUGAGCACUGCUUCUUCCAACCAUAUUUUGUUUCUUACUUUGCCAUGUAACCAUAGAUUUAAGUACAAUAUUCUAAUGUGGAUCUUCUAUCAAUGACUAAACCUGCCCAUUCUACAUCAGCUUCAAGAUGUUUUGCAUGGGGUGAAUGCAAACCCAGCAUUUGUAUUCCAAACAAAAAGCAAUAACAUGAUAAUUCAAUUAAGGUUAGGAAUUUUUUUUAAUAUAAUUAAUAAAAAUUUCAGCAGAGUUUUUUUAUAUUUUUAGAUAUCAAGAUAUUAACUUUUCUUCUAUAAUCCUCAAUAAUCAAAUUUUUUACUCGUUUUAUAAUUCAGGAUUGAUUGUGUAAAGAUAGAUAUAGUGAUCACAUAAAAUAUCUUACUAAACUCACAAUAAAUGUAAUAUUAGAUCAUGUUUGUGAUAAGUAAAUCAGCUCUCCCACUAACUUUUGAUACUGUGUUGUAUUCACACUAGAUCACCUUCCUUGUCAUCUUCAAGUUUCUGAUUGGGAUCUAUUGGAGUGUCUGCUAGCCUACAACCACUCAUCCCAGUCUCCUUAAGAACAUCAAGGACACACUGCUGCUGUUGGGAUAUAACGAUCCCCUUCUUCGACAGAACAAUCUCUAAUCCAAGAAAAUCCUUAAUCUCUAUUUCAAUGGCAUAUGGGUGAUUAUUAGAUUGAAAGGUUUUCCUUCUUUGAGAGCACCUUUUUUAAAGUGAAAUAAACACAACUUUCAGUUUAUACGUUGCUUGUAAGAAUAGCACAUAUGAGUAUGAUUUUGAGAUUUGAAAGAACUCCUUGUUUAAGAGGAAAUUGGACUUUGUCAUGUGAAAUGAACACCUUUUUAAUUUAUACCCUGCAGAAAAUGCAGAGGAUUUUAUACUGUGUUUAUUUAAAGUUGAUUGUCAGGCACAUCAACUUGCCCACACAGAUCAUCCAUUGAUUAAGAACGAAGAGCAAGAAUAUCAUGGUGAAGGAGUUAUGUGCUCUGUGCGUGAGGAGGCACUUGCACCCUCUUCACCUGCUGGCAAAGCCACCAUCUCAUUGCUCAAGAUGCGUUUGUGACAAGAGUUUUGUUCGCCAUUGUUGUUUCUGGGAAUUUGACGAUAUCAAAUGUGCUCUUCCACCGUGCAUUUUUGAACAUGAAGGUCAGGAACAUCUAAUUAUUUGUCUAGCAAAGUAGCUUCAGUUGAAGAUUGCCUGUCUCACUUGCAAAGCAUGUGGCACUGAUUUGUUGAAGAUUAUUACCAGCAGACGUCACAUCUGUUGCAUUUCUUCAUUCAGCUAACCCAGUCUCACAAAAUUUUCCCUGUGUUUAGAAAGUUUCACCAAAACAAUAAAGCUAAAAAUGUCAUUACAAUUUCCUAGUAGAUAUUCAACUUUGCUAUGAGUUUUCAAAACAUGAUAAAAAGAUUUCUAUUUUUUUAUUCUGUUCAAGCAACAUUGACAUGGCAAUAAGCUAGCAUUGCACUGUUAUGGAUCAUGGCGAUUUGAUUUGUUUUUCAAUUUACAAUUUAGUCAAAUUCAAAGAAAACUUACACACAAAAAAGGAAAUAACCUGUUCAAAAUCUAAUUAGAAAUAAACUUCAUUUUGAUAUAUGGAAACUGAUUAUAAUGAUAACAUGACCAUUGAAACCUAAAAACAUAAAUUUGUUAAUUAAGAAAUGCUAGGAAAACUUUUUUUUUUUUUACUAAUAUUUGUUUAUCAAUAGAAAUAAAAGGCAUCUAAAGUUUUUGCCGUUUACAAAAUUUUACAACACAUUGAGCCAUGAAAGUUGCCUGUUUUGGAAUGAGUCUAGAGAGGUCUUUGAAAUUGCAGUGAGACCUGAUUUAAAAAAAAAAACUUUAAUUUUAAAUUUAAUUUUUUAUAUUUUUAUAUACAUAUUGUAUCGGUAUUAUAAAUAAAUUUUAAAAAAUAUAUAAUAAAAAUUUUAAUCCAUUCAAAAAUAAUAAUAAUAAUAAUUACCACUAUCUUAUACCACAUCCACAUAGCAUCGGUUUUGCUUUGAAAACAACUUGGCGACUGAAUGGUGGUCUAGUUAAACGUAUUUUUCUAAUCAGUAAUUUUUCUUUUAAAAUCAAGACGGUUGGCAUGUACUUGUGCUUCGUUAUCUUAUUUAAUUUUUUAUUCUAUAGUAAAAGGUAUUUUUUUUAUUAGUUUAUAUGUCAAUCAUGAUUGAGUUUUUUAUUCAAAUGAUUUUAAGGAUAAACAAUUUAAAGUUAUGAAUCAUCGAACAAUCCAUUUAAAGUUAUAUAAUUAUGUUGUGAUGUAUCUUAAAUCAAAUAAAAAUUAUACUAGAUUAUUAACAUUUUUUAAUAAAUAUAAAAGAAAUAUUCAAACAUUACUAAUAUUUUUUAAAACAAAAAAAAAUUUAAAUAAUGUGAGGGUUAAUUUGAUAUAAUUUGGUUGAUUUUACAAGUUUACAAGUAAUCUAUAUAACCCGAAAAAACAUAAUUUGAUUAAAAAAAAUUUAAGAUGAUAUAUUUUUUUAAUAUUAAGAUAAAAAUAUAUUAAAUUAUUUUAUUAAAUUAAAUCUAAAAAAAGUGAGUUUUUUUAACAGAAGCAAGAAAAACAUUUUUUUGUAAUGAUUUAUGUGCACAUUAAAAUGUGUUUUAUAUACUUGAUUUGGUUCUUGAUCUAUAGUAAUGAACCGGCUUUAUUUAAAAAUUUCUCAAAAAAUAAAAUUGCGUUGAACAAAUUAAUAAAACUACGCUAUCUCUUCUUUUUUUAUAUAUAUUAAAUGAUUGGCUAAAGAUGAAAUAAAUAAUUUUAUAUUAUUUGUUUGUACGUAUUACUUUUAAGCGUAGACUCUUUUAUUUGGUGAUAUAUAUACGACUAACUUAAUUUGUUUUUCCUCGUGCACAUAUCGACAACCUUUUUCAAAUACCAAGAACAUGUCACUUCAAAGAAAUUUCCUGGUUGAUAAUGAACAGACAUAAGCAGUGCGUAAUAAUUUGACUGAAAAUAAAUGACAGCAGGGCAGGUUAAUUAGAUAUAGUGUACUAAUCAUUAAUUAAAUUUAUUUUAAUCAUUGACUACAUAUCUUAAGUAUUAACUGAACAUAUAAUUUCUUUUAAAAAAUAUCAAAAACAUUAAACUGGACUCAUUCUUCCUAGAUAUUGGGCAGGUUAAUUAGAUAUAGUGUACCAACUAUUAAUUAAAUUUAUUUAAAUCAUUGACUACAAAUUCUAAGUAAUACCUGAUCAAAUAUUUUUUUUUUUUUUUAAAAAAAGAAUCAUAAACAUUAAACUGGACUCAUUCUUCCUAGAGUCAGAAAAAAAAAAGUACACAUAUAAACAGAAUUAGAUUUGAAGAUGACGAGAGAGCAACCUCUUAACCACGAGAAUAAUUGAUUAAGGAAAGGAACAAUGAAGAGAACUUCGGAAUCAAAUAUAAUUAGAAUCAAAUAUUUUUAUAAACUCAAUUCUAUAUUGGAAACCAAUAUUAUUCCUUGAUUUAAAUUCAUGCAUGCCUCCUUUUGUUCUUCAAAGUAAAUAACACAGAAACCUCAAACCUGGUAUUCUCUCAACAUGUACAUCACUAUGCUGUCAUCCUAUACAUAUGUCAUAAAGGUUAAUUCCAAUAAUUAAAAGGUUGUGAAAUUGGUGCAAAACCCUACCUCUAAUGUUUUUUUAUUUCCUUGAAGGGGAAAAAAGGUUGAAUGCGAUUUUCUCUCUUAUAAUGCAUUAAUUCUUCCUCCACACAUGUCAUGGCCAUGGAAAAAUUAAUUUGGAAAAGUUGGUUUUUCAGAUUUGACUGUUCCUCCUUGGAGAAUAUGGACGCAAAAUCCAAUUUGUUUUUGGAUAAAUGCUUCCCUUUUCAACCAUGCAAAUAGCAAAAGUACAUGGUCUUUUAGGUUCGGCGUGAUAGUUACUUGGUCAAACCGAGGAAUAUAUGGGCUCAUUCUUAUGAGAAAGAUAAAGUAGAAAAGAUAUGCUCCUUUUCAGCUUCUCAGAAAUUAAACAUGCACUGAAAGGGUAACCAUGACAACUGACCAAUCCGCCUGCAAGGAAACCGCUCCAAUCUUCCCCAUGUGAGAAUUUCUUCUGCAGAGUUCAAAGUAUUCAUUUCUGCAGUGAAUUCAUGAUCAGAGCAGAGUUUUUCUUGGUGAACGUACAAGUCAGCUGUGCCUUUUUUUCUCUGGAGGAAAUUGAUGAAUAUUAGCCCAAUGAUGCCCGUACCAAUGAAGUUUCCUUGAUAUUUGAUACCCUCAAGGCCAGACGAACACUGCAAGCACACUAAAGUACAAGAACAAAUUGCAGUAAGAAAAACAAAGUAGAUUCUAUUAUCAUUUUCAUUGACUAUGGAUUUAGCUAUGGAAGUUUCAAUGGAUGACUAACUUGCGUGGAUCGAUGGUUAUUGAAUAUGAUCAAGAGGCGUGAGCAAGAUAUACAGCUAAUUAGACUUGUUCUUCAUGGAAUUUGCAAGAUCUCAUAAAUUUUGUUUAAUUUAAUAGCAAAGGAAAAUCUGCAGGAGGAUCAGAAGUGGGACUGCAAGACACGACGAUUAUAUGUAGACAAAUAUGCUCAUCAAAUCCAAUACAUACAAGCGUAAUUAAGCAGAGUACUAUUGUAUAGAUUUGAUGACAACUGCGUAAUAUUGGUCAACCAAAUAUUAUUCAGAUUGAUAUUAACUUCCCUGUUGUGAUAUCUACUAUUCUACAGUUCUAAGUUUUCCAAGAGAAAAAAUAUAAGAUCAGAAAAUACAAGGAAAUUUACUCCCUUAUAGAAGUCCUAACAUUUUUUUCUAAUUUAAGCUGACAUGAACCUGUCUUUUGUAUAUCCUCCACUUCUCAUUCAUUUGGCUUCAAACUUGCCAGAAAGUUGCACAAAAUUAACUACAGUUCUAACUUCUCAUUCUUUGGAGAGUUACUUUUGGCGAGAUGCGCUUUCCCUUGGUAGCCCCAUCCGUAAUUCUAGCUGUCCUCUGGGCUCUUGCUCUAGUACAGAGCCUUGAUUUUCAGUUUCCAAACUUCACGGAUUUAGAUAGAAAUCGACUUUUUUUGAGUACCAAUUCUAAUAUAGCCUCGAGAGCCAUCCAAGUCACACUAGAUAUUAAUGGAGCUCCAAUUUAUAACUUGUCUGGAAGGGUCAUGUACAAAUGGCCAUUCAGACUGUGGAGCAACGGAGGGAAGAAUGCAUCUUUCAAUACAACCUUCGUACUCAAUAUCAAAAACCAGACAGCUUCAAGUGGUGAAGGCUUAGCUUUUAUAUUAACAGCAGAUCCUGAUGUUCCAGUUGGAAGUGAAGGACAAUGGAUGGGAAUCGUAAAUUCCACGUUAAAUGGAUCCAUUGAAGCCAGGACAGUGGCAGUAGAAUUUGACACCAGAAAAAGUCAAUAAAAAACAAAAUACCAAAAACAACCCGAGUUAACUUUGGGUUAAUCCGUUAAGUAUUAUUUUCCGAUCAUGAAAACAAGACACCCUAGUAAAAAAUAAACCAAAAUAAAUUAUGAAGUUUAAUUCCUAAUAAAAGAUAAAAUUAGGGAAUAGGACAAUUAAGAAAAGAAAAAAAACCAAGUCAACCGGGUUAACUUGUCAAUCCCACGACCCAGGUAAUGAGAUUUGGACAAUUCAAUAAAAAAAAUUCAAUAUUAAAAAAUUUGUGACCUGGAUAAUGAGACCGGGAUAAUCUCAAAGAAAAAAAAUAGAAACAAUAACUCUAUUUUAAACCUAGUUAGUUUGUCAAAUCUAGAAUUUUUAUCAUCAUAAGAUAAGGAUAAUACUAAAAAAAAACAAAUAAAAAAGAAUUAUAAAAUUUAUUUUCUAACUGAUCCAUUGAAUGAGAAAAUUUAAAAAUUUAAAAAAACUAUAGAAAAUCUUUGUUUUACUUUCUUAAUACAUUCUACUUUACGAAACAAGGAGAAAGGAAAAAGAAAAAGGAUAAACGAAGAAAUUACUUGGUAGAGAUAACCAAGAAAUAGGUUUAUCAAGGGAAGAACCUAAUUUUUGUUCUAAAUAAACUUCGUGAAGCCACUGUUUCGAAUCACUAUGGCUUGUGAGAGGAUUUGUUGUGUAUUCGCAAAGUGUUUCCUUUUUUUUUUCCUCAUUAAUUUUUUUGGUUACUUUUUUUUUUCAUUUCAAUAUUUACACAUUUAAUUAAUUUAGAAUUGAAUUUCAUGAUAUAUAUAUAUAUAUAUAUAUAUAUAUAUAUAUUUUAUUUUUUUUCUUUUUUCUUUUUCGAGUCUUCAUGGUCUUUUAAAAAAUCAUGGCAUUAACUUUGUUUUUAAUUUUACAAAGAAGAAUUGAUCAGAAGCUUAAACCCCCUCUUGGAUCAAGUGGAGGAAUGCUCAAGUAAAGAUGAAAUAAAGAGAAAAACGAUGUCCUUUGUUCUUCCAUAACUACAUGAUUAUCUUACAAUUGUUUUUUUUUCUGACAGGUAGGGAUAAAUCUCCGUUUAUAAUGGUGAUAAAUAAGAGUGAGUAAUAAAACAUCCAAUACUUUCAGACAUAAGCAUGAUCAAGCAAACAGAUGAAUAAUCAAGAACAUAGUUAAUAAUUCUCCAGGAAAGAACAUCUCAGACCACUUUCAUAAGCACAGAGGUUAUGCAAUGCUUCAAUCUUCAGUGCAAAUUGCAACAAUAUCUCACACCCUACCUGCUCCUAACUUAGUGUAUUAUAUAUGAAGGUUGCAUUUGGCUGGUUUGUAGUGUUUUCUGUUAGAUGAAUUCACAAAUGACAUGUUGGUAGGGUGGAUUGCUCCUUCACUUGCAAUGCAUGCGGCACAGAUGGAGAUGACUCCCCUUUCAUGUGCACCAUGUGCCAAUUCGUGGUCCCCGAAGAAUGCAUUUCAUUGCCACACACCCUUAAAACUGCACUGCACCAUCAUCCCCGAAUCAUCCACACCUAUAAUCCUCAACAGUGCAUCGAAUUUAUAAACAAGUACUGUGGAAUUUGCCGUCGGGAAGUUGACUAGAAUACGGAGUUUACUAUUGCCCAGACUGUGACUUUGUUGCACACGUGAAUUGUAGCAGAGAAUAUGGCGAUUCUGCAACAGAGACUGCAGGACAAACCCAAGAAGGGCAAAGUGUGACUGUUGAUGACCAAUUCAUGGAACCUAGCUUUCGCGUUGUCCGUGAGAUCAACCAUGGAGAGGAAAGAAUAUUCUCCGUUGCAGCAGUGGAAGUCGCGGGUUUCCCCUUUUGGUUGCAGAUGACAGAGAGAUUAUUCCCCCUUGCAGUGGCUGUUGUGUCCCUGAAGAAUCAGAGGUAUUUUUUAAAUGUGUGGUUUGCGAUUUCAAGUUGGGUAUGAAAUGUGCUACACUGCCAUACAAAGCAGGACACGAGUAUGAUGACCAUCCUCUCUUCCUCACCUACAUUAAUGAAAAUGACUACCAACCUUCCUGUAUAAUUUGUGAAGAAGAUAGAGACCCUAAGCUCUGGUUCUACCGUUGUGAGGAAUGCGACUUCGAUGCUCAUCCAGAAUGUGCUCUCGGGAUAUACCCAUAUGUCAAGCGAGGGGUGGUUCUAACAUAUCCUAAACACCCUCACCCUCUUGCUUUGGCAGACAAGAUAGAGGAUUAUCCUAACUGCAGUUUUAUCGUCCACGAGGGAAGAAGAAGCAUUUAUUAAAAAAUCAAAUGAAAAAAAGAAAGAAAGAAAAAAAAGCACUACGAAAAAAAGAAAAAAAAGACACUAAAGUGCUUUGUUUAGAUGCCCCUUUAAAAGAAUACCUUGCCGCAGGUACUUUGCCUUAAUUUUUUCGGAGUUGAUCAAUAGAUAUUACUUCUAACAUUCUCUGAAGAAAAUCUUCGUUUUACUUUCUUAAUACAUUUUACUUUAGGAAAUAAGGAGAAAGGAAAAAUAAAAAGGACAAACGAGAAAUUACUUGGUAGCGAUAACCAAAAAAUAGGUUUAUCAAGGGAAGGACCUAAUUUUCUGUUCUAGAUAAACAUCAUGGAGCCGCUGUUUCGAAUUUUAACUUAUACAAACAAAUCCAAACCACGUAUAAAAUAACAUCACGUAUAAAAAAUUAAUUUAAAUAAAAAAAAUAUUGUUUUAAAAACAUUUUUAAAACAUAAAACAAAUAAGUUGUGAGUUUGAAUUAAAAAUACUUCUAUUUGAUAUGGUCUUUUCAGAAUAUUAUUUUAUUUUUAUUUUUACAAAAAUAAAUCAAUUUUGUUGUGAGAGAAAAAAAAAUCAAGGGGGUCAAAAUUAAAAGUUUAAUGAAAUAAUAGCCUUUUAAAGAAAAAAUAGGUGUCAAAGCCUUUUAAACUUAAAAUUUGAUCCAAUAUUAGUUUUGAUCCCUUCAACUUCGAAAUUAUACUAUUUGAUACAAAAUUUAUCUUAUUUACAUUUUAGUCCUUAAAUUUGAAAAAAAAAGAGUAAAAGUUACUAGAUUACAAUGAAUGAAAAAGAAAGUUAUUGUUAAUCACAUUCUAACAACCAAAAAAAAUUGUUCUUGGUGUCCAUUAGAAUCACUUUGUGUAAGUCAAUUCUAGCUAUUGUUCCUUAUAUCCUAUGCAAUCGAGUUUAUUACCUAAAUCAAUUUGCUUUGAAAUUGAAACAAUUUGCUAGAGGAUUUAUUUGGGGGGACAACAUUGAGGCUAGACGAACUCAUCUUGUUAACUAGAAAACUCUUUGCCAAUCAAAAGAUGAGGGAGGUCUGGGGCUGAGAUGAAUGUAUUUUAUGAACCGAGCUUUCAUAAUUAAUGUCGCACGUCACCCGCGCAGCUUCAGCUUAGCGAUUUUUCUCUUUUGUUGCUUUGAUUCGUUGGGAGUCGCCACCUAGUAUUUAAUUGAGAGCUACUAGGAAACCCGGGUGUACUGAUCUUGUUAGAGAUUCACGAGUAAGGGACUGAUUGUGGUUAGGGAAGAUAUUAGCACCCCUAACACACCCUACUUGAGGUAAGCUGCUUCGUGGCUUUGAUGUGUUAAAGAAGUUUUAAUAAUUAUCUUUUCAUCGGAUAUUAGAAAUACGACUUACGUGUAAGUUCAUAAUUCUUGACCAUGAGCAAAUCAAAGUAUUAAAUUCUUCUUUAUUCUUUGCAAUUUUAUCAUAAAUAAAAAGAAACAUCCAUAAAACAAAUACAAACACACAAAUACACUUUCACUAUAUGUUUUUCUUUUCUUUUUCCUUUUUUUGCUUCCACAUUUACAAAUUAUAAAAAAUCAAAACUAAACAAAUAUUGCAUUAAACAAUUUGAAAAUUACAAAAUGACCCAAAACAACCCAGAACAGUGUUAGGCCGACUUCUGGAGCUACCGGAACAGUGGCGUUGUGUUGUUUCAUGCACCACCGCCAUUAGCGGCGUGUGGAUUCACACACCUCUGCCAAUGACGAUGGCAAGACCGAUGGAUUGUGAACGUCUUAUUCUUCUCUGUUUCCCUACAUCGGCGGUGACCUGCAGCAACAACAAAACCGCAACAACCAGUUGAUUUUAGUUUUUAUUUCCUUUGUUUUUUUGAAAUCUGCUUCGGUUUUUUCUUUUUAGAUCUGCCCUGUUUCUCUGCCUCCCUUCUCUGUUUGUUUCUCUUCUACCGAAGACCGAUCUGAUGGUUGCUUUCGUCCGCAAGGCUUGUGGAUCUCCGAUGAGGAUGGCGUUGCUGUAGCUAUUGGUGAAGGAGAUCAAUGGAGGCUCAGCAGAGAGAGAGGGGUGUCGCUAUUGAAGGCAGUGAGCUGGGUCAGCUGAGGACCGGUUGAAAGAUAUGAGUGGUCUUGGCUAGUCUAUGGUCGUUGCUGUUGAAGAGACCGAAGAUGAAGAAGACGCUGCUGAGAGAAAGAUUGGUCUGGUCUGUCGGUUCAAAGGGGAGGAAAUGCAGAUGUCAAGGAAAUGGGGGUAGUGCAGAUGCGGUCUGCCCUUUUAUUUCUUUGGUUUUUUUUUUUUUUUUAAAGGAUGGGGGAGAUGGACGGUUAAGGAGGUGGAGUGGAAGAACGAUGGAGAGGGGAAAUAGGGGUUGGUGUGCCGGACGUGGGGAGAAGAAGAUGGUGAGCGGCAGCUUAGGAGAGAAAAUGAAAAGCCACUGGUGGGGUUGCGGCUAUGUUUUGGGUAGAGGUGGAUUUUAGGGUUAGGUUUCCUUUUUUUUUUUUUUUGUAUUUUUCUUUCAAAAUUGCCCCCCUCACUUUUUGUGAGCAUUGAAGGCUAUUAUUUAUAGGUAAAAUGUUGUUUAGGCCUCAAAAUUAGUCCUUCAACUUUCUUUUUGUAAAUUUUAAUUUUUCUUGUCUUUUUUUGUAUUUUUUUGAAAACGAGCAAUAUCAAAGUCAACUCAAUGAAGAAAAUCAAUGAUUUUAAAAAUGACGCGUGAAAAGUUGAACGCACUCGAAAGACCCUUGAAAAUUUUAAAUUUUUUUUUAGACGAUAUUGAAAAUGCUAAAAAUAAUGCAAAUAUAUUAAAAAUAUUUUUUUGGAUUUUCGUUGUUUUUCACUAUUUUUGAAUUUUUCAAAAAUUUUAUAAAAAAUAUAGGUCAAAAAUUGGAUAACAACAAUUAAGAUGGGAUGGGGUAUCAUUAACAAUAAUAAUAGUCUAUAGGCUUCAAUUCUCAGAAGUAAGUAUGUCAGAUCUAGUGAUAACAUUCUCCUAUUUGGAAUGUGAUAUGCAAGGAAUGGUCUCAUGUGAUUAAAGGCAUUUCAUGGGCUACUAGCAAUGGAGAAAAUGUCAAGUAUUAGGAAGAUAAGUGGUUGGAUGGCUUUGGUUCUCUUGCUAGAUAUGCGACUUAGGAUCUAUCUGAGGAACUGUUCAAUAAGUCGGUGGUAAAAAUAGUUUCAGUAAUAAUCAGUGUAGAUGGGAUACUUUUCCACACCUCUUGCCAAUGAAUAUUGUGAUGACUCUAGCUAGCUAUCACCCUUCUAAUAAGGAGUCAAAUAAGGACCAUCUCUUUUGUAACCUUUCAAUGAAUGGUGGGUUCACUAUUAAAUCAGCUUAUUUCUCUCUUAUUAACUCUUGUGAUAACCAAACCCAUUUGAAGCCUUUAUGACAUUUUGUUUGGAGAUAGAGAGGUCCCAAAAGAAUUAGAUCUUUCCUUUAGCUUCUUGUCUAUAACAAAGCAAUGACUAAUGAGAUUAGGUAUAAAAGACAUAUGAGUGGUUCCUUUAAUUGUCAUUGUGGUAGUAGUGAUAUUGAUACUAUUUUGCAUGUGUUAAGGGACUGCAAAUGGGCCUAUGAAGUGUGGCUGAAAAUCUUGCAUCCAUGUGAUAUUGAUGGUUUUUUUGUUGUGGAUUUACAUGUAUGAUUGCUAUCAAAUUUGUCAAGCAUAGUUAAAACGAAGAAAGGUUGGCUUGGUCUUUGGGCUUUUGCAAGAUUAUUUUGGAAUUUGAUUCUUUAGUUAUGGUGGGUGUACUCUUGAAAUAGACCAUGAAAGUUGAUGCUAACUUUGCCUUGGUUAACAGAGCUUAUGAAGCACUAAAAAGAGAUUAGGUAAUCCAAAUACAACAUUCUUACACAGAGGCAAAUGCUACUGUUGAUAGGCUCGCUAACUUUGGGUUUUCCAGGCAUCCACUUUCUAAGGAGGAUUUGACUAUUAAUAACACUCUAGAGAGCUUGUAUUGGUUUUAUUUUAUGACUUGAUUGGAACGAUAUUCCCUCAAGUAAUUUAAUUUUAGGCUUUAGUCCUGAUUUAUACCAAAACAUAUUAAAAAAAAAUACUUUAAAAAGAACAACUACUACACUACCAAAUAUUCCUUUAUACCCAUGGACAAAUAAUAAUGUAUUUGUUUCUCAUUUAUAGAUUAUUAAGUGUAGUUAACAUACUUAAAUUUAUUAAUUUAAACAGUAUGUUACGAUAAAAAUAUCAUUUUAAGGUUUAACUAUGUUUUUAAAUAUAGUAAUUGUUGAUUUAUGAUUUUAAUAAUUAAAGGAUUUUACCAAUAGAUUUUAAGUUUAGGUACCUCUAAUGUAAAAUACUUACAUCCAUAGGCAAAUGAGUAAUAUAGAAAGCUGAGGAAACCUAACUAAAAUCAACGAGUCUUUAACAACUACCUUCGUAUACAGUUAAAGUUGAGUAAUAUAGGUCGCAACUUGGAUAACAGAUCAUCUUUUUAAAAAAAAUUAUAAUAUUUUAAAAAAAAAAAAUGCAUAACAUAUCAUCCUUUUAAAAAAAAUUACUUUAGUCCAUCUCUUUUCAUUAUAAAAUAUAGAAGUCCAAAGGCAAUAGUUUAUGUAACGGAUGAUAAAGGAUGCUUAUGAGUUGGCUUUUUCAAAAUAAAAUGGUAAUUUCUUCUACAUUUAUAGAGCCUAUUUAUUUUUAUAUUUUGAAAAUAUUUUUUAAAAAUAAUAUUUUAUUUUUUUAUUUUUAAACUGUUUUGAUGUAUUGUCAAAAUUAAUUUUAAAACACUAAAAAAAUAUUAUUUUAAUAUAUUUAAAAAAUACUUUAAAAAUUAAAUAGUACUAUACCAUCCUCUUAUACCCAUGAAUAAAUAAUAAAUUAUAUAUUUAUUUCUCAUUUAUAGAUUUAGUUAACAUACUUAAAUUUAUUAAUUUAAACAGUAUGUUAUGAUGAAAAAAAUAUCAUUUUAAGAUUUAAUUAAGAUUUUUAAAAUAUAUAUACAAGUACUUGUUGAUUUAUGAUUUUAAUAAUUAAAGGAUUUUACCAAUUGAUUUUUAACGUUUAGGUACCUCAAAUGUAAAAUACUUUACACCCAUGGGCAAAUGAGUAAUAUAAGAAGUUGAGGAAACCCAACCAAAGUCAACGAGUCUUCUUCUCCAACAAGAAAAGACAUGGGAAAGUGUCUUCUUACUCACAUACUUGAACAAUCUCAUCCUCACAAAUAGACGAGCCUGUAGCUUUCCUCGUGAUCUUCUACCCGCCUCUUCCUUACAGGUAACACCCUUCCUUCCUUUUUGGACUUCUUGGAAUAUUUUUCGUUUCGGCUCUCUGUCCCAUAAUCUUUGAUAAAGAGGAAAAUGAAACAAAAAAUUGAUUGGUAUCCGAUCUUAAUGGGAAAUCACAGUGUUCUGGAUCUUGUUGGUUGAUCUGUAAUGUAGCAGUAAGCAGCUGUAAUUAUUUAAUUAGCCGUCGGUGAAGAGGUCAAGUUUCAGUUCAGAAGGUGAGGUAUUGAAUUCUAGUAGCACUCAACUUUUAUUUGCCUUUCCAUUUCGUUAACAUAUAUAUUCGGCAGCUUCAAUCUGGCCUACCUAAGUCUUACCUUCUCUCAACAACCCUCAUUUCCUGCUCUGUCCUCUGAGAGAGCCAGAGACAUGGAGGUUGAACAUUUUAGCCACCCAGAUCAUCCAUUGAUCCUCAUUAAUCAAGUUCUCGAGUAUAGUUGUGAAUUAGUUAUUUGCUCUGGAUGCGAGGGACCUAUAUGGGGUCCUUGCUACAGUUGCACCUCUUGCUACUUCUUUCUUCAUAAGACAUGCGCCGAGCUGCCCCGUGAGAUCAAGCGGCGCAUUCAUCGUAGACACCCUCUCCAUCUACUAGCAAAGUCACCAUAUAAAGGAAAAUACCGUUGUAAUCGGUGCGCCAAAAGUUUCAACUGUUUUGUUUACCAUUGCUCUUUCUGUAAGUUUGAUCUUGAUAUCAAAUGUGCUUUUCAACCGGGUUUUUUGGAAGUUGAUAGUCAGGCACAUCAAGUUGCCCACAAGGAUCAUCCAUUGAUUUUGAAUGAAGAGCAAGAAUAUCAUGGUGAAGGAGUUAUGUGCUCUGUGUGCAAGGAACCAAUGUCUGGUCCUAGCUAUAGUUGCACUUCUUGCAACGUCUUUCUUCACAAGAAGUGUGCUGAGCUACCCCCAGAGAUCAAGAGGCAAAUUCAUCCAGAACACCCUCUUCGUCUACUGCCAAAUCAUCAUUUGAUCUGCGGAUUUUGCAACGAAACUUGCUAUGAGAGUUUUGUUUACUGCUGUUUUGUGUGCGAAUUCAACCUCCAUAUCAAAUGUGCUUUUCCACCUUGCGUUUAUGCAGCUGAUCAGGAUCAGGGGCAUCAAUUUAGAAGCCUGCUGAAUCCACGUUCAUUCAAAUCAAUCUCCUUCACUUGCAAUGCAUGCGGCACAGAUGGAUAUGGCUCC
rnacentral:lncRNA from 1 species